AAAUUUUCGGAAAGUGAUUUCCAUAGAAUUGAUUUUGUAUUAGAGUAGUGAUUUUGGUUAAAAGUUGUAGAACGUUUGGCAGAGUUUAGAUAAAAGUGAUUUUUCUAAAGUAAUUUUGUAAAACUGUUUGGCGAAAAAAUUUUGAUGUUUGUAUAUAGUAACAUUUUUUACUAAAUUUUGUUUUAAAAUAAUUUAAAGUUUGAAUUAAAUUUAAAACUUAUACAAAAUUUAAAAUUUGAUAUUUUAAUUUAAAAAAUAAAUUUGAAAUUUGAAAAUUUAAAAUUUAUAAAUUGAACUUUUAAAGCUAAAUGCACAUUUUCAAUUUCAAAUUUACAAUCCAAAUUUAAAAUUUGACAUAUGAAAUUUAAAAUUUAAAAAUUUUAAUUUGAAAUUUAAUUUAAAAUUUAAAAUUUAAAAUUUAAAUUUAAAAAUUAAAAAUUUGAAAUAUAAAAUUAAAAAUAGAGCAGGAUUCGUCUUAAUUCACUAAAAAUUCGCUUCCAUUUGGACUUCUUUUGACUGAACAGUUCAGCCGGGAUAAAAAAUAUAGAGUUAAUUGUAUAUAGGUCGAUCACUAUAAAUAUAGUGAAUUGCAAAUAUAUUUCUAUAAAGUUCAACUUUCAUAUAUUGUUAUAACAAAAGUCCUAAUAAUUUUAAAUAUGUCUCUAUUGUUAGAAUCCGUUAAAAAAAUUUAGUUAAUCAUGGGUUAAAUACUUAACUCUGAUUAGUUUAUAAGAUAACUUGAUAUUUUUACUCCUCUUAUAUUAUACCUUCUUCGCUCAAUCAAAAAUUCUAGCAAUGAGAACUCUUCUUCUUCCUCUUUCUCUUUCUCUCUCUCCUUCUGUCACGCCCCCGUCCCGAGACCGCUACCGAUUUUGCACGGUUCGGACGCGGCGAACGGACGCCGAACGGACGGAGUUUUCCCUGUCCGCCCAAGGCUAAGCAACAGAUCGUGUACAACAAGUCCCCAGAAAAACAACUUGCAUUCAUACACAAUCAACAACGAAACGAGAGUACAAACAGUGCUACAACCAACUAGAGCAAGCGAUACAAGUAAAAUCAUACAAGUAUACAAAAAAGAGAAACUUAACUAUUUGAACAUAAUUGAAACAUUUAACCCUCUUUCGAUAUCAUUUAAAGUUCAACCAUUUAAUACAACUUGCAUUCUUUUUCAACAUGUAAAUACAUCAUAUGCUCUCCAAAACCUCACCCUAUACAUCAUCUACUCUCAAAGCAUAACCAAAAGUACAGGGUAUAGAGCUAAUGCAAGUAGGAAAGGUAAAGCUAUCAACCGAUACUGCUAGGGCGCUAAGCCCUUGCCGCGAUCCUCCCGCUCGGUCGGGACACUCGAACUAGCACCUGCAACAAUGGGUGUGAGAACUACGAAUAGUUCCCAGUGGGUUCGGCCGCCGACUCCGCCGAUCUACCCACUAGGUCUUAAGCAGACAUAGAGAGAUAUAUAUAUGCAAUAUAUAUAAAACUAAGCUGAACUGGAAGCAGGUAUGUAAAACAACUAUAUCAAACUAUGCCUCAAUCUGAAAUCAUGAAUGCAUGAACAAUAAAUAGUAGGGUAAGCAACUACUAUAAACAUCUACAACAGCUAUCAUAGUAAGCUAUAAGACAUGCUACUAGGGAAAGCAAAUAAGCUGAUAUGAACAAUGAAUAGCUACUAUGAACAUCAAUCAUGGGUAAGACUCACUGGGUAAUCCAAUCUCCAAGUGAACGCAAGGUUCAUAAGCAAGGCUCACAAAUCAACCUCCGAGGGAUGCCUAGCUGGACUAUCCCCGAGUACGCCUGCGGAUAACAAUCGGCUAUCCGAGCAGCAAGCAGGGCUGCCUCUCUAGUGACCAAACUCCGGAGCGCACAACUUGAGGGGAGCGACCCCACCAAGCGCAGACAGGCAAUGUGAGCAUGAUCAACUCACGAGCAACAACAACCCUUUGAGGGUAAUCUUAGCAUAGAUCAACAAUUCUUGUACCCAAGCUCAUAGUGUCUCGAUUACACUAAUAUGAUCAUCUCAAGUAAACAUCAAAUAUGUGCCACUUGUCAUAGUUUUCUAACUAGAUGCCACUUGUCAUAGUUUUCUAACUAGAUGCCACUUGUCAUAGUUUUCUAACUAGAUGCCACUCGUCAAUUUUGACUCAUUAUCAACACUAGUUUCAUCAUACUAGUUCUUUAGCAACAUAAGCAUUAAUUAUCUCAUAUAGGGUCUAGGUUCUCAACAUAUAGUUUUCAUCAUAUAAUCAUCAUGCAUACUAGAUCAUAAACCAACCAAGCAAGAUAUAUUUAUUGAACUACUAGCAUGCAAGUAUAAGCAACAAUAAUCAUUUUCUAACCCUAUAUGUUUAUGCACAAUAUGCAAAUAGAUCAAAUUAAACUUAGACAUAGAAGGUGGCCCGAUGACUUCGGGAUGGCACUCCCCCACCUUAGGUGAUGCCGAAAAUACUCCGAGACGCGAUCUCGAGCUAGUCUUGUCGCCGCUUAAUUCUCGUUGGGUUAGCUUUAACCCUUUAGCACUUCAAAUGGCAAUAUCUUCGCACUCGAUUCUCAUAUCGAUGAACCGUCUUCGCCUACGCGUUUAUAAGCAUAAGAAUUAGGUUUCUAACCCCUCAAAGGAGAUCAAAUCCUAAUAUUUGCAAAAUUCCCAAAAUCAAGCCCUAGAUUUAGAACCCAUGAGAAGCAAUGGCUUCUAACUUCAUUGUGAGCUAAAUUCAUGUUCUCUAAGCUCAUUAGGUUCCAUUUGAACCAUUAAAACCAACAAAAACCCCUAAACCCUGGAAAUCCAAAAACUAGGGUUAGAGCUUACCUUAGGUUUUGCUCCAAAGAAGGCCCAAGCUUGAUGGAGAGGAGAGAAAGGAGCUUUAUCUUCUUCUCCUUGAUCUUCUCUUCCUUUCCCUCCUUCUCUUUUCUUCUUCUCUUCUCUUUUCUUCUUCUCUUCUCUUUUCUUCUUCAACCGGUUAGAGAGAGAGAGGGGGCUAGAGAGAGAGAGGCUGUGAGAGUGAGAGAGAAGAGAGCUGAGAGUGAGAGGAAUAAGUCCUCUAUUGUAACAAUAUGCUAAAAAGCCCUCAUUUUAUCAGAUUUUGCAACUUAACCCGCUGCUGCCGCGCCCUUGUACCGGUACACGGGGUCUUGUACCGGUACAAGCCCUGCGUAACAGCGAAACAGAGAGCAAACCCGAGGCUCGGGUUGCUCGGUCGCGCGGGUUUUGUACCGGUACAAGGCCCUUGUACCGGUACAGCCAUCAGGCACUGUUCCGCGAUGGUUGUACCGGUACAGCAUCAACCUUGUACCGGUACAACAGUGCCAGAAUGCUGUUUUUUUUCGAUCUGUUUCGAUUUCGUUUCACGUCCAACAACGCUAAAACUAUUCCAACACUUUUGGAACUCAUUUUUACUCUUCCAAACAUGUUGAAAUACCGAAUGGAACUUGUCCAAACAUUCGAUUGCUCACUUUGGUCCAUUGUGCCAAAGUUAGCCGUUUUCGUCGAAUUUUCGAUACCUUACACCUUCAUACACGACUAAAGUUUCUUUGUCUCCAUUCAUCCACGAUGCGUGUUGCUUCGCCCAUAUCAAAUACGCAUUGUUUGUCCAUUCAAUUUUCUCUAUGAUUUUUUUCUUUUUUUGCUCAAAAAAAAAAAAAGGUCUAUAAAAAAAUGAGUGAGAAAAGAGAUUGCAACUAUCGUGGAAUUGAUUGGAUUUUAAAAAGAAAAAAGAUGAGAAAUGAAGAAGGAGAUGAUGACCAUUAAAAAUUUUUUCGAUGAUAUUUCUACAUGAUUAUAAUUGUUAUGGCUUUUGAUCGAAUGGACAUAUUUAUAAUAACAAAAUUGAUAUUUCACUUAUUUGCUGUUAAAAUAUAAAUAAUUUUUUAAUAGUAAGAGGGACAUAUUUAAAAAUAUUAGAACUUUUAUAUAAACAAUAUAUAAAAAUUAAAUUUUAUAGGAAUAUAUUUAUAAUUUAUUAUAUUUAUAGAGAUAUGCAUAUAUAUUAACCCAAAAAUAUAAUGAAAGUCAAUGUGCACUCCAAUCUGUCAAGAAAAUAAGGUCGGAGGUGGAAGACCCCUUCCGUUCCGAAUCUGUCUCGUUUAUAUCCUUAUGCGUAGCCGUGGGUUACAAUAUGAAUUCUAAAGGAUUGGAUAAUGUACUAGACACUCUGUUUUUCGUCAACAUACAUUUAAUGUUCUUUAAAUCAUAUAUCUUUUAUUUUUCUUUCACUUACUUUUUCAAGGAAUCGCACUUUUUGAAAAUUUGUAAAAAUAUAGGUGCAUCGAUGUACCGAAGUUUGACAAUAAGCAUUGUUGGCUAAAUUUAAGUUUCAAAUUUUGGCUCUGAUACUGUAUGAAAUGAUCGUAAGCUCGAGAACUCUAAAUAUAAUGAUCUAAAUCUAAACUAGUGAUCCAAAAUAUGUUUAAUCCGAGUUAUUACAACUAAUAUGUUUAGUCCUUAUAUAUUCAAUCACCAUGCAGGGCUCCCAUCAUAUCCACCUUGUAAUAUUUUGUCCCAUAAUUUUUGAGUGGUAAUUUUUUUGAUACUAAAUAUAAAGACCCAAACCACUUAGGGCAUGUUUGGUUCACCUAUUUUAGACUAUGGAAUCAGAAUGGAAUUAAUUGAUUCCGAUAGUUGUUGUUUGUUUUAUAGGAAUUGGAUUCCGAUUCCUAUUCCACUCCGGAAUGGGAAUGGCCAAAUCUAUUUAUGAUCCAAUCCGGCUUUAAAUCCCGAAUUGGCUCAUUCCAAAGCAAACUAUUCAAAAUUCUCUUUUACCAACACCCACCUCCUCUUCCUUCGUCACUCUCCUCUAUCUUAAAUCAAAAUCCUGUCUCAACAAUUUUAAAUUUUCAUUUCGAUUUCCAUUCUAAUAAUGAACUAAACAUUUUUGAAUGAUUCGUCAUUCCAUUUUCUAUUCCAAAACAAUCCAAUUCAAUUUCUCAUUCCCAUUCCAAACAUGAACCAAACAUGCCCUUAUAGUUGUUGAUUUGUUUUGGCCCGAGUUCUCUUGGUUCAAAACGUUUAAAUGCAAUUAUUAGUAUAUUGAUAUAAUAAUAGAAAAUUGUCCGAACAUAUUAGAUUAUAUUGAAAACUUAAACCAUUUAGAAUUAUGGCAACAUUUGAAAGUUUAAACCAUUUUGAAUUGAGAGCUAGAUCGGUAUGAGUUUGAUAGUAAUACUUAGAUAUAUCUCAAAUUGAACUCAACAAUUUAUAGUAAUUGUAGUACAUCUAAAUGACUACGGGCCCGUUUGGCUUAGAUUCUCAAAAAGUGAUUUCUAUAAAAUUAAUUUUGCAUUGGAGAUGUGAUUUAGUUAAAAACUGCAGAAUUAAUGUUUGGCAGAGCUUAGAUAAAAGUGGUUUUUCUAAAGUAAUUUUGUAAAACUGUUUGGUGAAAAAAUUUUGAUGUUUGUAUAUAAUAACAUUUUUUACUAAAUUUUAUUUUAAAAUAAUUUAAAAUUUGAAUUAAAUUUAAAAUUUGUACAAAAUUUAAAAUUUGAUAUUUUAAUUUAAAAAAUAAAUUUGAAAUUUAAAAAUUUAAAAUUUAUAAAUUGAUCUUUUAAAGCUAAAUGCAAAUUUUCAAUUUCAAAUUUAAAAUCUAAAUUAAAGUUUGACAUAUGAAAUUUAAAAUUUAAAAAUUUUAUAUUUUAUACUUUUAUUUUAAAAAAUUUUAAAUUUAAAACUAUAAUAUUUAAAAUUUUUUAAAAAAUAUAAAUUUUAAAAUUAAGAUUUAAAAUUUGAAAUUAAAAAAAUUNNNNNAUAUAAUUUAAAUUUUAAAUUCUAAAAUAUGAAAAUUUAAAUUUUACCUUAAAUUUGAAAUUUGAAAUUUAAAAUUUAAAAUUUUAGAUUUAAAAUUUAAAAUUUAAAAUUUAAAGUAUAAAUUUUAAAUUUUAAAAGUUGAAAUUUACGAAUUCAAAAAUAAAUUUAAAAAUAAAAAUUAAAUUUAAAUUUAAAUUUAACCCUUGAAUUGAAAAUUAAAAUAAAAAUUUGAAGUUUGAGUCUUAACUCAUAAUGAGAUUUCAAGAAACAGGUUUUGGCUGCUUUUGAUUUUGGACCUCGAAAAUCAAAAAAUAAUUCUAAAAUUCAGAAUCAAAUUUUUUAAAAAAGGCUGCCAAACGCUUUAUUGAAUCGAAAAUCAUUUUUGAGCUCAAAAACAAUUUUCAAAAGCUAAGCCAAACACCCCUAAUAUUAAUAAGUAGGGUAGUUUUCUCAGCAUUUUAAGAAUUCACAAGAAUCAUCAUCAUAUACAACAAGCUCUACAUUUUUAUAAUUAACCAACAAGCUAGUUUUCAAUUACAUCUUUUUCUUUUUGUUUUUUUGCUUUGUCUUUUUCUUGAGGAAGUAGCCUUUGUUUUCUCUCUUCUCUUUUAUAAGGUAGAGAGAGAGUGGGACUACUUUUGGGUCCACCUAUCCAUAUUGCUAAAGUAUGUAUAUAUAUUAUAUAUCUAUAAACAUAUAUAAGAUUGUAUUUUAUUGCAUUUAUGCUCAACUUUUAAUGCACCUGUCUAUAAUCUAUAAAUAAUAUAAGUAAAGCUAGAGAAAAGCAACAAUAUUCUCUCCAAACUUUUGCCAUGCGGAUAAUUUGUCUAAGUAUAUUAUACUGUAACAUGGCAGCUUUGUUAAUUAUCAUUAAAUUAUUAUUAUUAUAUGUAUAUAUAUUUUUUAAUGUGGCUAAGGCAUUUGGUUCUUCUGGGAAUUAACUAAUAAGAUAGCAUCUAAUGCAAAAAUAAUUAAUUUUUAUGAGACCCCAAUUCUAUAUAUAAUAAAAUAUAGUAGGACUAAAGCUCUUCACCCGGCUAUAGCAUCUUAGGUGGUAGGUAGAUCCAAGAGUUUAAAAAGGUUAAGCGUGUUAGAAUUAAAGUAGUUCUAGAAUGGGUGAUCUCUUUGGAAAGUUUGAGCGUCACAGUUGGUAUCUGAGCCAAUUAUCAGGCGGAAUAAGUUGGAGCAUCACAGUUGGUAUCAAAACUAAUUACCAGCCGGAAUUGUCAGAUGAGUCUCGGCUGAGUUAGAAUUAUACAGCGGAGAGAGUGAAGCUCUCCUACUGUUGACUAUUGUGGAUGGAGCGCGACUCCCCCAUAAGAUCAGUUAAGACUAGCGAGGCGAUUCUUACAUCGACUGAUAUAAAUUCGGUUAAAUAUUUUAUAUAUUAUUUCGUAUCUAUACGUAUAUUUUUUAACGCAAAUACAUCUCUAUAAUGAUUUCACAAAAUUCUUUGUUUAUGCAAUUGAUUACUUUAAAAGUUUAAGAUAUCCACCAAUUAAUGGUUUCCAAUAUUGAUAUUAAAAAAAUAAAGUAAAAUAAAGUAAAAUAAUAUAAAAUAGUAAGCUGAUGGAGAUUCUUUUUGAGUUAUUUUAACACUUUUUGAAUAUAUAAAUAUUUUGUUAACUUUUUAUAAAACCCAAUUAAACCCGGUGAAUGGAAUUGCUUUAUGAUGUAAACUAACUGGUCAAAUUAAGAAGAUAAAACUUCGAAUAUAUAAAUAUUAUGUUAACUUUUUAUAAAAUCCAAUUAAACCCAAAACGUGUGUCAUGGGUGAAUGGAAUUGAUUUAUGAUGUAAACCAACUGGUCAAAUUAAGAAGAUAAAACUUCGCAAUCUCUCAUUAAAAUGUGUGACAACUCUUUACUUGUAGACUAAGGUUGGAAUAAGGUGCAUAGGAGGGGGAAAAAAAAAGAGCAUAUUUCAAAAAAGAAAAAUAAAAUCUUGUGGGCAUAUGAUGGCCAUGAAUAUUUUAAUCAAUCUUUAUCUCUCUUACCAUAUUAUUUUAUAAGAUGUGCCCAGAGAGAGACCUUUGUCUUUCCCACUCUAGGAUCUUAAUUUAUUAUGCCAAUGUUUUAGGAGAAUAUACUUUGAGUUAGGCUGGUAUACUAUCGGUAGCACGAAGGUUUUCAUACUACUAAGUUGUUUUCGAUGAUGCGACUUUUAAAUUGACGAUCGGCUCUAUUAGACUUGAUCUACAGUACUAUUAAAAGUAUUUGAAAACUAAAUUUCAUAAUUUUUCGACAUCAUUUGGCUAGUGAUCAAAAGGUCUCAAAAUUGACAAUUUUAAUGGUAGAUGUGAUGCGUUUGUGAAUUUAACGGUGUAAACCAAUCUAAAUCUAAUAAAAUUUUUAUAGAAAUUUUUUUUCACUAUUUAGAGUAAGAUCAGUAUCUCUGAUCUUAAAUUUAAGUCUUCUAUCAUCAUUUUUUAUGAGAUUUUUAUUUUCAGCCGUUCAUUUUUAAACUACUCAUUUGAUAGGUAAAUGAUGCCGAAAAAUUGUAAAAUUUAGUUUCCAAAUACUUUCAAUAGUGUAGAUCAAGUCUAACGGAGCCGAUCAUCAAUUUGGAAGCGUCAUCAUCGAAAACAACUCGGUAGCACGGAGGCCUCCGUGCUACCGAUAGUAUACCAGCCUAGCUCAUAUACUUUUGAUCAUAUUCUAUGGUUUAGUGAGCCACAAUAAAUGUAAGCAAUAAAAUAGAAAAAACACAUAUGGUAGUUGAUUCAUAUUUUCAGCUAAAUUUAUUCCUAAAUAAAUAAAUAAAGCACGUAAUAUGCCACCUUUCUCUCUGAAAAAAAAAAAUCUCAAAAAAAGAGAGAAAAAUAUAUGUUCAUCUUCCAUUUUAAAAUUAUGUUUGGAUGUCUGAAUAUCUUAUUUAGUAUAUUUUCUUAAUUUAUUUAAGAAGCUGAUCUUAUUUAUUUAUAUAAGGAAUAUAAUUAAAUUCUAAAUUUCAAUGUCAUAUUCCGCCGUCAAAGUUAGUUUUUGAAAAAAAAUAAUUUACUUUACGUGUGAAUAUGCUAUCGAACCAAAUUAUAAAUAACAAAAUCUUUCUGAAAAUACAUAUCACUCUCUCGAACAAUUAUAAUCACGAAAGAAAAUAUCGAACGAGUUAUCACUAGAUAACUUAUUACGAUUUGCAAAAUGAGCCAAGGCUUCCUUUGGGGCUUCCUUUGGGUAUUAGAAUAGGUUAUUUAGUGAUAAUUUAUUCGGAAUGAGGACUUUCUUGCGUGAUUGGUAAUAAGAAGUUUGAUUUUUGCUCGUUAAAGGAUCUUAACAUCUGUGAUUUGAUAAGAAAACAUAUUUAACGAUGAAGUGAUUUCUCUUAUUCCAAAAACAUAGCUAGAAGGCGGAAUACAGAUAUUUUAUCACGCUCAUCAUCUGUCAAAUACUGCCAAGUUGAUAAAGUAAAUCAAAGAUUACUAGAAAAUUAAUUUUUUUUUUGUAUGAUUGCAAAUUAUCAUGAGUUUGAUAUUAAAAAUCUUCAUAUGCAUGAUCUGGUAAAAUUAUUGUAUUCCAACUAGGAGGCAAGUUAUGUUAUUUAAAAAAUGGUAAUGAACUGAUGACCUAGUAUAGCAUGCUUAUGGACACAAUUAAUAAUACUUACCAUCAAUAAAAUAUUAGGAACUUGAUUCACAAUCCAUGUGCUGAAUAAUACUUCAUGAACCCAACCAUACAUAAAUAUGUUAGGGAAAACUUCAAAUACCUUCUAUGUUAUUUUGCACUUUCUUACUUUAGUAUUGUAUGAUUUUAAGUAUAUUAAUUUAGUAGCUUGUGGUUUUAUUUUUCUCUUUUUAUUAUACAUUUCACUAAUUUUUUUUAUUAAAUUAGUGACAAAGUUAAAACAAAAGGGUACUGAAAUGAAUAUUUAAAAAACCUAGGUGGGAUAUCUGAAGUUUUUUAUAUAUAAUUUAACGAAAUGUUAACAGAGAAGUUGACGAAAAAAGAAAAUGAAACCACAAGGUACUAAUCUGAUAUAUUUUAAAACACAGGGUAUUAAAGUGAGAAAGUGCGAAACCACAAGAGUGGUAUUUGAAGAUUACUCAAUAUUUUAUACAGUGCUUUUUGAAAACUAUAUAUCAUUUACAUUUACUUUUUUAUUAUUUUUUUAUUUUUAUAUUUUUAAAGAGAUUUGGAGACUAAAUAGAUGGGGAUCAUAAGCACUAACUAACUAUCAUAAAAGUAUAUGUUGAUAGGAAAGGUGCACUGUAUUUAAGGACUCAGUCACAGUGUUUACAUAUUUCAAUCUGACUCAACAAAUACGAACGUUAAGUCUAUUGCUUGGUAAUUUGCUGUUAGGUCUAUUAUGAACCACAACCCCACUCAACUUAUUGGGCUUAAUCCAACUCAACUUAUUUGUCUACAUAGGCCUAUUAUCACUUGGUAUGAAGUUGAAAUUAUUUUAACUAAUAGUAUAUCGCCCACAAUCCUCCCUCCCACUAUUAACAUCUGCACCGUUAAUGCAACAUGUGGGAAUCGAACCUGUGCUACUAACUCUGAUGGAUCGUAGGCAUUAAUAAUUUCAAAAGCGUAUGUCGUAAAAAGGUUGCACCCAUUAUACUUAGAGAUUCAGCCACAAUGCUCAUGGGUUUCAACUUGACUGAACACAUCUGAGUGUUAGAUCUAUUGUUUGAUUUCUUCCCGUACUAUUAUGGACUGCAGUUUUACUCAACUUAUUUAGCUCAUCCGACUCAACUUAUUAGUUUCGUAUACGGAGCAAAAUGCUGGUUCCAUUUUUAGCCAAUAAUAAAGCUAACAAUAAAGACCCCUGACUUGUGGGUCCCACUUGAAUUAUUUAGCAUGUGGUGCAGCUACUAACUGACAUGUCUAGAAACUUUAAUAGCUAGUCCCCAUCUUAAUGGUUUGGGACCAGAUCAUGUACCUUUCAAACUAUAGGAAAAGUAAAAAAUGUGUUAUUGUUGAAUUGAUUAAUUAAAACCUACUCCAUCAAUUUAUUUUCUCAAUUCUAAUAUAUCACAUGGCAAUGAGUCAUCAAUUGUUACAAGAAAACUACUUAUUUAAUAAAUCUUCAAUGGUCUUAUACAAAACUAGAACUAGUAUAUGAAAUAUUCCUUUCAAACUUAGAUUAAUUAUUCAUUUAUAUUUUUAGGUAGAAAUUGUGGAAAUUAACCCCCUCAACUAUUGGCAUUUCUAUUGGAAAUUAACCCCCUCAACUAUUUUUUAUGGAUAAAAACUCCUUAACUUCUAAUUUUCUUUUGUUCGAAUUUUUAUACUUAGUUAAUAAAAGAUUUGGUCAAACUUAAUGAUUUUUUUUUCAGAUUAUUAACCAUUAUAUAACUGGUCUAGCAAGUUUUAUUUAUUAAAAAGUGAAUUUAAUGACUCUAAUAUGCAUAUAUAUGCUUACUUUUAAUAGACUUGAAAAAAUUCCUAAUAUUUCGACGAAAUUAUUUAAUUUUAAAAAUAAAAGCUAGUAAUAUUUCAAUAAAAAAAUAAUUGAGGAGAACUAAAAUGUCGGAUACCUCGUAGUUGAGCCAAAAAUUAUAAUUGGGUCAAGUUUUGGGACUAAAAUGUUGCGCGUUUUAUAGCUCGAGUCAUAAAUUAUAAUUAGUUAAAAUUGAAGGAUUGAAAUGUAAGCUACGCAAAUGUUUUUUUUAAGUAAAUUUACAAUGGUCGGAAUUAUAUAAAUAUUCCUUUCAAACAGAGAUUAAUCAUCCACAUUUUUAUUUGACAAAGAAAAAAAAAACCACAAUUGUACAAAAGUCAUUGGUGGAAGAGUCAUCCCCGCAUCCGAGGUCACAUGGUGUCAGUUUUCGAUUUUUCCACACGAUGCCAGGCUUUAAAUUUUUUUUUUUUUUUUUUUCACUUUCUUUUAUAAAAUAUUUAGAAGAGCUUUGAAGCUUUAAAUCUGGUAAAAUAUAAAAUAGUCGCUUUCAGCUACCACAUUAUCAUAUUAGGUCUUGUUCGUCUCCGAAUAGCUAUACUGUGGCAUGCAAUCGCAAAUAUUCGUCACACACCUGUGCUCGAUCGUCGGUUGGAGCUUUCGCUCGCCACAAUGUUGUAUGAUGAUAGCUGAGAUCGAUUUCGUCCAGCUUCUAAACUAGCUUCUCGAGUUAUAAAAUGAUUCAUAGUUUUUACGAAUUCUAGAAAAUUAAGAUUUUCUAAUAAAAAUCAUGGUCUAGAUUUUUUCUAAAAGUUCUACUAUAUAUAUAUUCUUGUUUGUUAAUACGGUGAGUAAUUAGUUAAAGACACUAUUUUUAUAUCAUGAAAAGUCUGAAAAGAUUUUAAAAAAAUGCUACUUAUAGGGCUGUGCAUCUAACACACUCAGAGUCAGUAGUACACUAAACUUCUUUUAGAGUUUUUAAGAAAAAACUAAAAAUUGAUGAGACAAGCGAGCAGAUCGGCCACCAAAAAGAUGGUGUGGUGUAAACUUUACACCUUAUAUGCUAUAGUUGUAUAGAUAGUAUUGCUCAAAAUAUUAGAAUAGUGCUUUUAGCCAUCGCAAUAUAAAACGCGACCAUAAAUAAUAGUACUUUUACUAAAUCAAUUUUAAAACCAAAUUAAGCAUGCCCACUGACUUAAUUGCCACUCUUUUUUGCCCUAUAUAUACAUCCCUAUGUCGUGUGGCCAUCUCACAACACACACACACCCCCUCUCCCCCUCAAUAUUAGCUUAAGAUAAAAAACAAGAUGUCUCACCCAUGCUCUCUUCUCCUGGCCUUGAAUCUGAUCACCAUCACCUUGGCUUUGCUCUCUCAAAGAUCUCAAGCCCAGUUGAGCCCCUCCUUCUACAACUCCACCUGCUCGAACGUGUCGGCGAUCGUUCGCAGCACCGUCCAGCAGGCGCAGACCUCCGACGUCCGCAUUUACGCCAGCCUCACUCGCCUCUUCUUUCACGAUUGCUUCGUCCAAGUAACCACUAUUUCUUUUAUAUAUAUAGAGCCCAGUUGCUAUACUAUCAGUAGUACAGAAACCUCCGUUCUACUAAGUUGCUUUUAAUGAUUGAACUUUCAAAUCGGCGGUCGACUCUAUUAGACUUGAUCUACACUAUCGAAAGUAUUUGAAAACUAAAUUUCAUAAUUUUUGGACAUUAUUUAGCUAUCAAACGAAUAGUCUAAAAAUAAACGAUUAAAAAUAAAAAUUUCAUUAAAAAUGAUGAUAAAAGACUUGAAUUUAAGAUCACAUGUACUGAUCUUAUUCUAUAUAGUGAAGAGAAUUUUCUAUAAAAAUUUUAUCAAAUUGAAUUAUUUUACACUGUAAAAUUUACAAACGCAUCACAUCGGCCAUUAAAAUUAUCAAUUUUGAGACUUUUUGAUCACCAGCCAAAUAAUAUCGAAAAUAUGAAAUUAAUUGGUUUCUAAAUAUUUCUAAUAGUGUAAAUCAUGUCUAAUGGAGCCGCUCGUCGAUUCAGAAGCCGUAUCAUCAAAAUCAACUUGGUAGCGCGGAGGCUUCCGUAUUACCGACAGUACAACAACCUAACUCUCUCUCUCUCUCUCUCUAUAUAUAUAUAUAUAUAUAUAUAUAUAUUCACUUCUUUUUUUAUUCUAAUGUCAAAUCGAGCACGAAUAAGUUGUACAUGAACAAACAUUGAGUUAAUGGCCUAAUUUCCACAUUAACAUGCAUUACACAUUAGUUGGUUAGGAUAGUAUCCAACUCAGGGUUGCGACGAACUUGUUUGAUCACACUCAGGGUUGCGACGGGUCGGUUUUGCUGGUCAAUAGUUCGACGAUUCAGACCGAACAGGAUGCCGUCCCAAAUAAGAACUCGAUUCGAGGUUUCAACGUCGUCGCUGACAUCAAGACGGCCGUGGAAAAUGCUUGCCCAGGAGUUGUCUCCUGCGCCGAUAUUCUCGCUCUCACAGCUGAAGCUUCAGUUAACUUAGUAAGCCAUUUUUUCCAUCUCUCUCUCUCUCUCUCUCUCUCUCUCUCUCUCUCUCUCUCUUCUGAGUCUCUAUAAUGGAUUCUCAAUAUUCGUACAGAUGUAUCGAUACGAAAUUUUAUUUAUCAAAUAUAUUCCUCCGGAGGUGCAUAGCCUACAAAUAUAUUUCUCUGUUAGUUAACCAGUAAAUAUUAUUUUUUCUACAAAAUAUUUUUAAUUAUUUUUUAACCUCAUUUAUCAUUUUUGAUAUUUUUAUUUUAACUUUCUUAAUUUGUUGGAUUUUGCAUUGAUGUAGUAGUCACCAUAUCUCUAUGGAUCUCUGAAAACAAGUGGUAAGAAGGUGACAGGAAGUACUUCUCCUUAAAGUGAGAUAUAAUUCAUUUUCAAAGUUGCAACCACUUUUUAAUGAACUUGGUCUUGUUACUUUAUUAUCUUUUGACUAGUGAACAAGUGAAAAAUUUAUUGUCGGAACUGUGAAGAGAAUUGAUAGUUCUAAUAAACAGGCUAAAUUACAAAAUAAUAAAUUAAUUUUUAUCUUGUACCUUAUUUUCAUCUCAACACUACAACAGAAUUAGGUUAUAGGGACACAUGUUUGGGAUACUUUUAAGUAAAUAUCUUAUUUAUGCUAAAACUUAAAAAAACAUCUACUUAUGCCUAAAUAUAAAGCCCAAUCAAACUAAAAAUAAAAGAUUACUCUACUCAACCCACCACACCCAGUCCAUUUGACCCGAUUACAAACAAAAAAAAAAAAGAAAAAUCAAUUACCAUCUUUUCUUUUCUCUUCACUCAAUCCAUUGAAAUUCUAGACGAAGAGCCUUUCCUGUCGUCCUCCUCCGUCACCAUAGCCAAUGAGAUAGAGUUUCGGCGAUUGCUAAAUGCUUAAAUAAGUGUUGGUAAUUAGCAGCACUCUUUUAGGCUAUAGCGACACUCUUUAACUGUCACUAUAUACCUAGCGACCCCACAUAUAGCAAUACUUUUUAAAAGUGUCGGUAAUUUUAGCUAGCAGCACUUUUUUGACAUGUACCUAUAUUUAAAAGUGUCGGUAUAAACCGUUUUUGUUGUAGUGCAAAGAGAUCCAAUUUUAAAAUAAUUGUUUAAUUCUGCUUUAAAAUGUUAUAGUUUUAGUAAAAUUUACCUCUAUCAACUUAUUUUGGUAAAAUUUUACAAUCAAAUAAACCGCUUCGUUCAUUUUAUUUAGAAAUAAAAUUAGCUAAAAAUAUGAAUCAACUAAAUUCGAACUUGGAAUCUCGGGUACCAACCACCGAGCCCUUUUCCACUUGCGCUAGGGACGGUCGAUAGUGCAGGUGAAAGUUAAUGCAGUUUUUUAUACAAGAAAGUAUAAUUGAGAGACGAACUUAAUUAAGUGCCCAAAAGAUUUCGUAAUCUAGGGUAAUAAAUAAUUAAGUUAAUGAGGAUUAGUUAGGAUAAGGUGAUUUGAACAAGUUCAUUUACUCAACUUCUUAAUGAGGAUUAGUUGGGAGAAGGCAUUUUAAUGAGAGGGUUAGUUACGAUAAGGUGAUUUGAACAAGUUCUUUUAUUACCAUCCCUAGAGCAAGUGACAAAGGGCUUGGUGGUUGGUACCCGAGAUCCAGGUUCGAAUCCUAGUUGAUUCACAUUUCUAGCUAAGUUUAUUUCUAAGUGAAAUAAACGAAGCGGGUAGCGUGCUACCUAUCUCUCAAAAAAAAAAAANAAAAAAAAAAACAAGUUUUUUUAUUUUUUUUUUUUAUUAAAAUGCACCAUCGUAGUGCAAUAGAAUUUUAAUUUAUUGGACGUGUUCUAUAAUAUUCAAAAGACAUACAUAUCUCAAAUCAUAAGUUUUAGUUAUCAUUAAUUUCUUCUGGAUUGAACAAAAACAUUGAAUAUAAACUAUAAAAAAAUAUCAUUCUUUCGUAGCUUAAUUUUUAGACACAAACAAUUGUUUCACAUGAUAUCAUAGCAAAACGUCAUUCGUUUGGUUCGGGGUUAAGAAAAAAGUAACUAUUCCAGGGAUAGAGUUAAGUUCAAGGUUAAAGUGGGGUUAAAAUUUUUUUGUGUUUGGUUGGGGGUUGGAGUUAGUCUAGAAUAAUAAAAAAUAGUGUCUGGUUGGAAUAGGUGGGAUAAGAAGAUAAUGAUUGAUAAAGAAGGAUAAUGAUUGGUUGGAGUAUGUGGGAUAAAAAUGAUAGUGGGUUAUUAUGAAUAGAAAAUAGUGUUUAGUUAGAGUUUGGUGAGGUUAGGUGGGGUUAGCUAACCCGGGAUAAUUUAUUUGAGGUGGGGUUAGCUAACCCCACCCAUUUUUUGGAGUGUUUGAAAAUAAUAUGGGGGUUAAGGGGUUAUUCCACCUCUUAACCCCCAACCAAACAAGGACUAAGAGUUCAAAUCCAAAUUUAGUGCCUCUUAUUUAAUUCAAGUAUAUAUCUUCGUUUGUUUUAUCCAAAAUUUUCACACUAGCACAUAAGAGGAUGAAAAAAGUACCGUCAGCUAUUAAUCUUUUUUAUCUUUUUUUUUUUUCCAUCUCUUUCUUUUCCAUAAUUGACUUGAAAAAGUUAUAACUUUGGUUGCAUUCUUAAAAAGGAGAUUGUUAUCAAAUAAGAUAGAUCUCUACUUAGAUGCUUUAGGCAAAAUCUUCUCAAAUAAGAUAAAUAGUUAUUAUGUAACAAUUAGUAGCAUUCCAUAAGAAAGGAGAUUGUUUCACUCAAGGUGGGGAGGAAGAAAGGAGAUUGUUCCACCGAAGGUGGAGAGAAGUAACGUGAAGUGAUUUUCGACUGUAUAUGCCCAUUUUCUUUAUUUGGUUCAUCAAAAUUAAAUAAGACCGUAAUUCAAUUUUUUCGUAACGUUGUAUUUGAUUUAGCAUUGGUUGGUAAUGAUGAAGUCAAUCGCAGAAGAAAAAGAGAUAGAAAAAAUAAUAAAAUUUGAACAAUUGUUUCCAUAAUGUUGUAUUUCGUUUAGCAUUGUUUGGUAACGGUGAAGUCAAUUACAGAAGGAAAAGAGAUAGAAAAAUAAAAUAAAAUUUGACGAUUGUAACACACACACACUUUUUGGGAAACAAACACAGAAAGUGAAAAGCAUCAGUUUUGAGGCCAUUAAACGAACGGCGGUUAGAAAAAUAGUUUUUACUUGAACUUUAUUUCAAUUAAAAAUUAUUUUCAACCUGAAAAAUAGUUACACGCACAAAUUAACAAGCAGACCCUUGGUGGAGUCGAGCUUGAGCAAGGUUUGUUGAGCAUCUCACUAACUUAGGGCCUCCAUGGUACUGAGGGUUGUCUAAUGCAUGUUAUUAGAUAAAGAUAUGCUCCUGUGUAUUAAGUGGACUAUAUAAAUUAUAUAUUGUAACUGAAUCAUUAGAUUUUACAUCGUGAUGUCUUUUACACAAAUAAUGGUACAUUUUUUUCAUCGCACUUUCUGCCUGUACGUAAUGCAUCGUCCCCUCAACUCCAAAUAGAAACUAAGAUAGUUAAUGAUCCAAGAUAUAAUGUUUGUUUUUUUUUACUCUUUAUGUUGGAGUGCAAAUAAUUUUUCUCACAAUAAUAAUUGUAAUAGGCUGGAGGACCCUCAUGGACUGUGCUACUGGGGAGAAGGGAUAGCACCACUGCAAACAUCACUGCAGCCAACAAUCUCCCUAGCCCCUUUGAUAACCUGACCACUCUUGAACAGAAGUUCGCCGCCGUCGGUCUCAACGACACCGAUCUCGUCACAUUAUCAGGUAUCUGCAUAAUCAUCAAAUAUCAACACUUUCUCAACUCGAAAUGCAAAAGUCAAAUGUUCUAAAACACACACAAAAAACUGGAACAAAUUAUGGUUUGUUUAGCUCCCAACAAAUUAAGCCCUAAAAAUAUGUUUGCUAUAGAGCUCUCUAAAAACAUAUACUACUAUACUACCCGAAAAGUCAUGGGAGUUGAAUCCGGCAUGCAAGGUUUGAACUUGAGUGACAGACCAACUGGUUUAUACAGUGGCUAUUAAUGUAUGUCUUUUUGUAGCUGGUUAAUGUUCUCUUUUAUAUUCACUUUUGUCAAUAACAGGAGCUCACACAUUCGGCCGAGGCCAAUGCCGGUUCGUCACUCCACGGCUCUAUAAUUUCAGCAGCACCGUGAAUACAGACCCGACCCUGAACUCAACCUAUGCGACCACAUUGGAGCAAAACUGCCCCCAGGGCGGGAACGCAUCGGUCCUGAAUAAUCUCGACCCGAUCACGCCGAACACGUUCGACAGCAACUACUACAUAAAUCUGCAGAACCACCAAGGGCUCUUCACAUCUGAUCAGGAGCUCCUGUCGGAUCCCAAUGCGACGACGACCGCCUCGAUCGUCAAUAAUUUUGCCGGCAACCAGAGCGCAUUCUUCGAUAGCUUCGUGCAGUCGAUGAUCAACAUGGGGAAUAUUAGCCCCUUGACAGGGAGCAGUGGGGAGAUCAGAACCAACUGCAGUGUGGUGAAUAGCGGAUCCGGUUUGGAGUUGCAUAUUCGGAUUCAACAUGAUUCUGACAAGGGUUCAGCUGCAGAAUAAAAUAUUAAAAAAUAGGGUAAAUUGCAAAUUUGGUGUGGUGGGUGACAUUUUGAUCCUCAAACUUUAAUUUAUUGUCAUUUCUUGCUCAAACUUUUGGAAUUGGUGCAAUUAAGUUCUAUAACCCAAAUUAGUUGACUAAAUAUUGAUAUAUUACUAAAAUAGAAGUAAUGUAAUAGUGAUGUGAUUGAUAAUACACAAAUAUUUAAAAUGUCACAUUACUUUUACAUCAGCGAUCAAUGCGUCAAUAUUUAGUUAAUUAAAUUAGGUUUUGGAACUUAAUUAUAACAAUUCUGAAAGUACAAGCUAGAAAUUACAACAAAUUAAAGUUUGAGCACUAAAUGUCAUCGGUCUCAUAGUUUGAAGAACAAGCAUGCAAUUUACCGCAAUAAUAUAUAAUGUAUCUGAACUUAAAUCUAAAUAGCUUUUUGUGAUCACAAUAAUAUGAUCAGAGAUAUACUCUCUCUCUCUCUCUCUCUCUUUCUCUCCUCUUUCUGGCUCUCUUUCUCAUCUUACUUUUUCCUCAUCCACAAUGGUACUCAUAACAGUGCUAGAAAAAAGUCUAAAAUGUGGAAGUCACAUAGAUGAUAUGGUACUGUUUUCAACCAAUCACAAUUGAAUCCUAGAGUUCGCCCAUUUUAUCACACGGUGUUAGAAAAAUAGUUUUGGUGUACUAUUUUUCAAAAAGAGAAAAUUUGAUUGGUUGGGAUAUGGGUGACGUAGUGCGACCGCUACAUAGAAGACUUUCUCUAGCAUUAGAGUCCUCGUCCUCCUGUCAAUAAUGUGUGUUAUUUUUGUGUUUGGGUAUUGUGAGUAUUCUGGUCAUAGCGGUGUGCGGCAAAUUCAAUAAAGGCUUGUUGAGGACAUUGUGCUUGGUUACUGCUUUCACAUGGCUCAAGUUUUUCUUCAUAGUGUUUAAUUUUUGUCUAUUUCUCACGGGCUUUCACGUCGAUUAUGACUUUAAUUGUUCUGUCAACUUAGUUGCUUUGAUUUGUUGGUUUUGGGGUUUUAUUUAUUGUUUUCUUUUUAUAUUUUUAUUGUCCAGGGUUGUGCUUAAAAUUUCUCUCCAAAAUUAUGUACUGUCAUAAUCAAGUUCUACUCCAACGAAAUGCCUACGGAUUUUUUUUCUUUAAAACAAAUAUAUAUGAUUUAGAUCAUAAAUAUGUUUUCCCCAGUGAACUGUUUAGAUCACAUAAACCAAAAAAAAACUACUUUGCCUUUUUUUAAAACUGUUUGUUAAGUUCAUUCGAGUUUAACAAGCAUUAAGAAUGGCUUCAUUUCGCUGUUGCAGAUUGUUUAUAAACUUUGUAAUUGUUUCAUGUCAAAAUUAAAUUUCAAGAGUAUUAGCUUUUGUUUUUUUUUGUUUUUAAAAUAAGUUUGCAAACUUACAAUAAUAUAUAAAAAAGAGCAUAUAGAGAAAUCCAUAUCUAGUUUCUUGAAUAAAGUAGAACUUGAACAAUGCAAAAAUAAUAUACACAAAUAAUGGCAAAUAUAUACAACAUCAGCUAUUGUCACGUACGUUACGGGAUUCUUUUUGAAAAUCUUUUUUAAAAAACUAGCGAAAAACGUAAAUUUUUUUUUUUUCUAAACACCUUUAAAGGCACCUCGAGAAUUCGUCAAGAUCUAUCAUAUGGAUAAGGGAUCCCUAAGCGAAUGAAUAGAAUCUCUCUUAUACAUGCAUGACAUUGAACAUUUAUACAAACAUCAACCCCACAACAAGCACACAGACAGAUAUACACAUAAAUAUUUGAAAUUCAUAAUUAGAAAUCAACUAAACCAAUAACUAAAUCCAUAGUUAGCAGUCAUUAAUAAACAAUAAGUAACAAACUAAACUAAGUCACGUGGAUCUGAAACAUAAAACCAAUCUGAAUAAACUGAAACACAUGGUAACCAAUCUGAAACAAUAUAAAACCAAUCAAAAAUGAGUAGAGUAAAAAUAAAAUAAAAUAUUAAGCUUAUAAAGAAUUUUUUUGAGUUAAAAGUUAAAACUGAUAAAAAAAUAAUAUUCUUAAUUUUAAAAUUCUUUGAAUAGAUAAAAUAUUAUAUUAACUUAUAUUCUAUAAAAACCAAUUAAACUCAAAACGUGUAUCUUGGGUAAAUGGAAUUGAUUUAUGAUGUAAACCAACUGGUCAAACGAAGAAGAUAAAACUUCGCAAUCUCUCAUUAAAACCUUAUUUCCAUUAUUAAAAAUAAAAAAUGAUCUUGUUGCAUAUGAUGGCCAUAAAUAUUUUAAAUGAAUAUUUUAAUCAAUCUUUAAUUAUCUCUCUUAGCAUAUAUUUACACAAGUUGGAGUUUGGAGUUAGUAAAACAUGUGUCCAGAGAGACUCUUCUCUUUCCCCACUCAAGAUCUUAAUUUAUUAUGUAUGUUUUCGAAAAAUAUGCUUUGAUCAGAUUCUAUAUUUCAUGAACCACGACAAACGUAACCAAGAAAAUAGAAAAAGACAUAUUCAUCUUCAACAAAAAAUAUUCUAUUCAGACAUAUAAACAUUAGCACAAAAUAUAUUUUAGACGAUGCUUUUUAAACGCUCAAUUCUAGCAUUGUUAAUAUUUGGCAUGCGUCGACACUAUAAUUAAGUAAUAUUUUUAUCAGAUACUGAUAAAAAUUCUCUGACGCUAUAUUAAAGCGUUGGUGUAUUUAUUCCGACACAUUUACUUAACGACUCUUUGCUUGACACUUUUACAAGCGUCGGGAUUAUUCUUACCGACGCUUGUAUGUAGUAUCUCUGGUGUUUGGUUACCCGUGGAUUUCAGCAUCUGAGACUUAUCGACACAUCUGGAGAGUGUCGAGAUAAGUCGCAAUCGUUUUGGCGUGAAAUGGACGCAAAACGGACUGAGUGCAACGUGAGAGCAGAGUUUGAUAUUGAAAUUUGCAAAGUGUGGGUUUCAGUAUUAAGUACCGGUACCAUGCAGGGGAGUACCGGUAUCCAGUGUAUUUUUCGAACAGCUGCUCUCGGGUUGCGAUAAUUGAUGCUGAGUACUGGUAAGGCAUCGGGCUGGUACCGGUACUCUAGCUGGAAUGUUGAGUUGGUGAGGGGUAGAACGGUCUUUUUGUUGGUGGUUAUCCACACCACCAAAUCCCUCGUAUUUAUCCACCAGAGAGAUUAAUUAUCCUUCUCCUCUCUUUCUCUAACUUUGGUUAUAUGCUUGGUGGAGACCACAGCUUGAGCUCGGAUCGACGUCGACGUUGCGCCGGGGAGCUGAUCGAGCGCGUGGACGUCGCGGUUGCGCCGUUAGAGGCCGGACGAGCGCGUAUUUUCCCUUCUUUUGACUUCUCACCGUAGUUGGACUAGUUUUUUGAGGUGGGUUGAAGUUUACAGAAAUCGCCGGAAUACCUCCUAUGUUUUUAUACCGUCGACAUGUAUCAUUUGUGUAUUUUUCUUACUAGUACUCGAAUUCAUGGAUUAGUGUUUAAAUCUGAAUUUGGCGUUAAGCUAGUAGUUUAAUAUUAUAUGUUAGACUUGGAAUUGACUUAGGAGAAAACAUAUAGAUCCUACAUUGUCACUUUCUGAAAAUUACCAGAUUUAGUUUUAGAAGCUAUGGUUUAUUUGUAUCGUCGUUGUUAGUAUGCGAUGGAUACCCAGAUUAGGAUAGGAUGAGUUUACGCUCGUACUGGGAUGCCGAGUUUAUUUUUACAGUAGUGUGUAGACUGUUUCAGACUGUCGGGUGCCGUCGCGGUUGACAGUGGACCCAAAUUUCUAUAUUUACAUCAGAUUGUGCCAAGGGCACGUGAGUUUUGGUUGUUAGACCAGUUAGACCCAGUUGUUUUGAUUAUAGUCCGUGAGAGCCUGAUUGAGCUCGUUAGAGACAUACUUUCAUACUCGGUUGGGUAGCGCCCACGAGUGCCACUCCGGAGUCGGGCUUAAUGCGUUUGCGUUGAUGUCGUAGUGUCCUGGUUGGACUUGGUCUCCACCAACAAUCCAGCGUGGUGGUGGUUGGUGUAGUUUCGACAGAUGGGACGGUUGUGUUCACAGUCCCUAAUGAGAUUGGGUCAGAGAUUGCAUCUUGCUUAUAUCUACAGAUAACUAAUGUUGGUUAGCGACAGUAUAGUGGCAUGUAGCCGUAGAGUUUUUUCAGCUUUCUUUACUAUUCUUGAGCAUACUUUCUGUAGACUGUGGGUGAGCCGUUGAGGUCGGCAGUGGUACCCACUGAGGGCUACUUUUUUUUGGAGUAGUUCUCACACCCAGUUGUUGACCCUUUUUUGCAGAGCCUUCGUCCGCGGCUGCUGCUGUUCCUGAUUUGGAUCGUGGAAAGGGAGUCGCGAGCUAAAUCCCUUCUAGUCUUGUUGCUGUUCUAGAGGAGUACCAGCUAUAGAUAGUUUUGAUUUUUAGUUCAUGUAGAUACUGAUGUUAGUUAGUCGCUGGAGCGAGUGAUGUCUGUAUCUUGGAGAUUAUGUAUGUAUAGUGAACCUGAUAUUUAUUUAUAUAUGUGUACAGUUCUGUUAGCAGCUCUAUACUACUAGUUGUAGUUUUGUAUGAUUACAGGUAUAGAUACAGCUAUCGCUUUAUAUACAGAGAAAAUUCUUUUGUAUACGGCGGGUCUAUUGGCGUGCCCGAAAAAAUGUGGUAAUCCGGGAUGUGACAUUUAAAGUAUCGCUAAUUAUUGUUUAAACUGCCCUUAAGUGCAAGAUUUGUUGUAGUGAAAUAUUUUAUGUAGUAUAUUUUUCUUAUUUUAUUUACGGAGUUUAUAAUAUUUAGUAAAUGAGGAAUUUAAUUAAAUGUCUAAAUUGAAAUAUCAUACUUACCCGUCAAAGUUUUUUUUGAGAAAAAGAAAAUUUUAUAUGUGAAUAUAUUAUCUAACCAAAUAAUGAAUAACACGGCCUUUUUGAAAAUAAAUAUCAGUCUCUCAAAUAAUUCCAAUCAUGAAAGAAAAUGCACAAAUCGAAGGAGUUAUUGCGUGCCCGGGGAACGAGACAUCCGGGGCGUGACAUAACCCUUCUUUGGAUGUCCGAAUAAAUUAUUUAGUGAUAACUUACACUACAACAGAAUUAGAUUAUAGAGACACAUUUUUGAGACACUUUUAUAUAAGUGUCCCAUUUAUACUAAAACUUUUAAAAAAGUCAACUAAGGCCUAAAUAUAAAAUCCAAUCCAACAAAAAAUAAAAAAGUUAUUCUGCUCAACCCAUCCCACCUAGCCCAUUUGGCCUAAUUAUAAAAUAGAAAAGAAAAAGAAAAAAAAAUCGAUCACCAUCUCCCCUUCUCUCCUCACUCAAUUCACUGAAAUCCUAAACGAAGACCCUUCGCUCUCCUCCUCCUCUGCCACCGCAGCCAACGAGGUAGAGUUCCGGCUGUUGCUAAAUACUUAAAUAAGUGUUCGUAAAUUAGCAGCAUUCUUUUUAGAUUAUACCAACACUCUUAAACUAUCACUAUAUACCUAUCAUCUCCACAUAUAACAAUAUUUUUUAAAGUGUCGGUAAUUUAGCCAGCAACACUUUUUUUGAUCUAUACCGACAUUUAAAAGUGUCGCUAUACAUCAUUUUUAUUGUAGUGUUAUUUGGAAUGAGAAUUUUCUUGUGUGAUUGAAGAUGUUCGAUUUUUGCUAUUUAACUGUUUUGACAUUUGUAAUUUGAUAAUAUAACAUAUUUCAUCUAUAAAGUAACUUUUCUUAUUCUGAAAAAAUGACUAAAAUGCUAGAUAUAUGAUAUUCCAUUUAGACAUUUUAUCAUACGUCUCAUCUGUCUUAUAAAUAAAUCAAAGAUUACCGAAAAAAUGAGAAUUAUUGUUUAUGAUUGCUAGUUACGAGUAUAAUCUUAAAAGAUCUUUAAUGUGCAUGAUCUGGUUAAACCGGUGUAAUCCGAAUAGGGGGUAAGUCAUAUUAUUUAAAAAAUAUUAAUGAUUUAAUGACUAAAUAUAAUAUGCCUAUGUACACAAUUGAUUAUACUUCUCAUCUAUAAAAUAUUACAAACUUCAUUAGUAUUGCGCUGAAUAAGAUGUUCAUAAAUCCAAAUAGACUCAAAGUCAAAAUUAAUCCUGAUUUCCAUUACUUUCUUGUACCUGUGGGUUUUAUAAAGAAAAUCAAGACAAAUUUAAAAUACAUAAAUAUUUUAUUCUGUAUAUAUUUACAUAAAUAUUUUAUUCUGUAUAUAUUUGAAUUUUAUUUUAUUUACAUUAAAUAGGUGUAAGUGCUAACUAACUAUUUCAAAAGCAUGAUAGCACUCAUUGGUUUCCUUUUUGAGAGAUAGAUAGCACGCUACCCGCUUCGUUUAUUUCAUUUAGAAAUAAACUUAGCUGGAAAUGUGAAUCAAUUAGGAUUCGAAUUUGGGUCUCGGGUACCAACCACCAAACCCUUUGCCACUUGCUGUAGGGACGGUCGGUGAUAGUGCUCAUUGGUUUCAAUCUGACUCAACCCACCUAGAUGUUAGGUUUAUUGUUUGGGCUCAUCCAACUCAACUUAUUGGGCUCAUCCAACUCAACUUAUUACUCUCCUAGCCCUAUUGUCUAUAAUAACUAUAAAAUUCAUACUCUGUAAUGAAUUAGUUUACUUAAAUUCAUUUGAAUUUAUAUUCAAAUUCUGGAGGAAAGAGAGAAAAGGUUAUUUUGAGAUUCAAACACCUUCAAAUGAAACAAAAAACACUAUUUUAACGGUCCGGCAGUACUGAAAGCGUGGUGAAGUCCAUUUUCACAUUUGGCUCAUCGAAAGCUCAAAAAAGCACGAAAAUAAAAACGAGGUCAAAAUUGAAAAAUUAUUUUUUAAAAAAAGAUUAAAUAUUUUAUGUACCAUUUCACGGGAAAUUGAAUAGGGAGGUACCUUUAUGCUAAAUACACGUACUGCUGAGGGCUUAGAACAAAAUUUUGAAAAUGGAGGGACUUUGGAGCAUUUUUGCCAAACCCUACAUAUUGGUUCGGGUAUAAGUAAGAACUAGCUUAUACCAGAGAUAGGUACAAAUUUAGAUAUAAGCGAGAACCAAACCAAUUUUGUGUUUGGAUGAAAAUUUGGUUGUUCACGGGAAUAAGAAAAAUAGCGGUUGGAUAGAUAAGAUGGAAUAAGAAAAAUAGUUGAUGGUUAUAAAUAGAAAAUAAUGAUAUUACCCCUCAUUAUAUUUGAAUUUNGGAGGAGGAAACCCUUGGGAGGUCGAAGGCGUGGGCCUGGGGUGGCACCGAGGGGAAAGGAGAUUGGGUCAAGUGGCUUAGUGGGAGAGAGAGAGAGAGAGAGAGAGAGAGAGAGGCUUGGGAGACUGUUGGCCGAUUUUCGACGGUCGCGGGAUGGUCGCCGGUGGUUGGGAUCGACGACGAUGUAGCAGAGGAGAGUCCUUGUGACAGCUGAUGGGUUGAGAGGGAGAGGGGAUUGAAUAGGGUUGAUGGAAACCCUAAGAGCCAGUUUGGAUUGGGUACAAGAUGGGGUAUAAGGUCCUUAUACCCCAUCUUGACCUUAUACCCCAUCUUGUACCCGAACACAAUUUGGGCUAGGUCGGAACUAUAUUUCCCACCUUAGCGCUAAGGUGGGAAAUAUAGUUCCGACCUAGCCCAAAUUGUGUUCGGGUACAAGAUGGGGUAUAAGGUCAAGAUGGGGUAUAAGGACCUUAUACCCCAUCUUGUACCCAAUCCAAACUGGCUCUUAGGGUUUCCAUCAACCCUAUUCAAUCCCCUCUCCCUCUCAACCCAUCAGCUGUCACAAGGACUCUCCUCUGCUACAUCGUCGUCGAUCCCAACCACCGGCGACCAUCCCGCGACCGUCGAAAAUCGGCCAACAGUCUCCCAAGCCUCUCUCUCUCUCUCUCUCUCUCUCUCUCUCCCACUAAGCCACUUGACCCAAUCUCCUUUCCCCUCGGUGCCACCCCAGGCCCACGCCUUCGACCUCCCAAGGGUUUCCUCCUCCGGCAGCCCGAGCGCGGCCAGGCCCUCCCCGAGCAAAGGAUCAAAGUUUGAUCCUGUUUGGAGUGGUUUCGGGCCAUACCUCUGUUUGACCGCCGCUAUCGCUUCCUACCUUUGCUGUCGACCCGGAAGCACCCUCCGGAGUCGCCCUAACACUCCCGAACUUCUCCUAUGGCCAAAAAUCUAUGUUCCGGCCUCGGGGCUUCUUGGUUGGUCACAACAUCAAAAGCGCCGCCACCUAUGCCUCCCGCCGCCGGCAGUUGCCUCCCCUAACUCCUUCCUAACUGCCACUAUAUUCAUCAACCGGCGCAUGUGCCCCCUGGCCGUCGAAGCUCGGGAAGAAGAAGAUGCUAUCUUGGUUGACCCGAGCUAGGGUUUUCUUUUGGCCGACUUCAUUUUCUCGGCCAUCCCUGAUACCACCGACUCCACGGAAGGUGAGCACGAUCCUCCUAAAGUGCUUGGACAUCCGUGCUCACAUUCAUUGUAGUCCAAGAGGUCUCGAUUUGUGGAUCCUGCUAUGACGCUCCCAAAGACCUUGAAAACUACAAUUCAUGUAACCCUGGUGCACUUCUCAGCCUUCGUUUGCACUUCAAACAAUGAGCUCGGGCUUUGGUACGUCGAGACCUGUCAGCCAACUAAAAGAUACGACGACCCAGAGAUCUAAAAAGUAAAAACACACCUAGAGGGGGGUGAAUAAGUGUAAAUAAUAAAAUAACCAACUGGAUGCAAUAUAAACCAUAUGUGGAAAAAAUAAAGCCAACAAACCGAGGUUUUUACAUAGAAAACUCCAAGUGGAGUAAAAAACUACAUGACUGAUCACACAAAAAAUCCACUAAGGAAAAAUAGAGUAUAAGGUGAUUUACCGAAACCUUGACUCAACCUUUACCAUAGACUUGAAGUAGAUUUUCUUUGCUGGUCCCUAAUCGAUUGAACUCCUUCAAUCAAUGACGUUACUACUCCUCGCAGCAUCAAAGCCUCGAAUCCACGAGCGUUCACUGAAUCCUCGACCUCACACAAGUCCAUGCACAACUUCUCAUUUCGGAGCAAGUAGAACAAUAGUUAGUGGUGAUUUUCAUGCUUAGAAAUUCAUAAGAUAUGAGGGAAAACCUUAUAAGAAUAAUCAAUUUGAUUCUUAAUAGAAUAUCUGGAUUAAAGCUCCAAAAAUCAAAUUGAUGAGACAAAAAAAGAAACUUGUUCUCGAAAGAUGAAAAAAAAAAGCACCAAAACAAGUUUCUAUGGUUUCCGAGAGGUAUUCUAUCUUAGCUACGUUCCGGAGACACUCCCUAUUUAGAUGCUUAGAAUCAUAUUAGAAUUGAAAAUACGUUUUCGAAAAAUUCAUGAUGGGUUCAGAGUCCGGACCCUUCAUCAAUGUCUGGACUUUAAUACUUUCAAAGCAUCAAAGUCCAAAUCUUCCCCUCAAAGUCCAACCCUGCGUUAUAGCCAAGAAGGCUUACGAGGUCUAGACCCCGCCUUAAAGUCCGGACCCUGAAACUUGAAAAACUUCAGUUUUGUUCCGUAAUAAGUUUCAGACCUAUUCUAAUAUUUUUCAAACACUUAGAAAUAAUGCGUAAAUCAUCAUUAAUAUGUAAUCAUACCUCGGAGGCGUGAGCUCCAUAAACGAGUUUUUGAUCUUGAUGUCUUCUUCUUCAACCCUUCAAGACUCUAUAUGACUCCACGAAAUACGCCAACAUAAAAUCCGCAAUACCAACACUGCUGGUUGGUUUUCAAAGUGCACGAUUUUCGGUAACGAGUCCAAACCCUAACUUUUUAUAUAAAUUAAUGCUAUUAGAUUAAUGCAACUUUAGAGGUUUUUGUGCAAAUUGGUCAUGUGGGUUACUUCGAGUAGCGUGAACCCACAAUAUUUGACUUCUGGACUGAUCGUCCUAAGUCCGAUGAUCUGUAUGAAGCAUAUUUAGGGUUUUGGAGCAUUUAUCGGCAAAAACAAGAUCAUGGUUUCAGUUCAGGUUUUGCAUUUAAUCAACGUGAAUCCCUGGUAUUUUUCGCUGUGCCUUGUUGGUUGGUUGCCCUUGCUGUCUCAUGUGUCAGGAGACAACGAGUGGGCGGCGGAAGGUUCCGGAACCGAAAUUGGCAUUUUCAAAAACCCGAUACGGCUUAGUUUUCAUUAAACGCACUUGUUAGCGUAGUGUUCAUGUGUUUGCUGCCUAGACACCCAAAUCAGUACGUUUUAGGGCACUGGGUGAUGUACCAUAUGGAUUGGUACUUUAUAGGGCACUUUGUAGGUUUUGGAAGUGUUACAAUGAGUUUCCAAGAAAUUCCAGCGGGUUUUGGGAAUCGGUAAAAAGAACUGGUUGCUUGAUGGCUUCGAGAAUGUGAGAUUAGUGACUUUGGAUCACUUAUUAGGGUUUGUCCUAUUUAGUGGAUUAGUUUGUGACACCAUGGAUCUUUUGAAGGUACAGUCGAUGGUAAGGAGCACCUUAGGAGUUAGGUGCCUCGUAUGAUUCAGAUGGAUGCUCGAUCCAAAGUCGGUAUAGUGGUGCUAGUUUAGUGACAUUCUUUUUCUUUCUCUUUAUACUUGAUUACACACAUUGCAUGUUGAGCACGUGAUUACCACUUGACUUCACUUCUCCUUGCUCUAUUUUUAUAUAUUUAUCAUGACUUAGCAAUAGAGCAGUAUUUCAUUGGAUGUCAUUACAUGACUUGAUACAUAUAUAAUUGACCUGCUUAGUCGGUAUGAUGUGAGAUCUAUGAGAUUGGAUGACCUAAUUAGUCGUUGUAUUCCUUUUGGAUCCUGUCUCGGUUAGUUGCCUAUGGUUGGUUAUUGAUCAUAUUGCAUCCAUUAACAUAGCUCAUGUGCAUUUCACUUUGGCCGCCGCAAUAGUAUUCUCUUUCGAAAAAAUGGUCGUACUUUCAACCCAUAAACCCUAUAUAUACGACCUACUACUAGGACCAUAUGCCAAAUAUGGCAGGACGUGGCAUUGCCUAAGGGUAUCAGACCAACAUGGCAAGUGAUUGGGUAUUCUAGGACUUUUCAUUCGAUUGAUGCAUACUCUUUUUGUUUACAGUAGCGGUAGUUGUACACUCGUUAUUCAUUUCCUUUCAGUUCAUAUUUGCUACUGUAUUCAUCAUAGUUUCAUACCAUGCUAUACUAUUUUUCGUUUGCCCAUGAGUACAGCUUGCUAUUGUCGGCUUAUGGUACCUAUUGAAAAACCUCAAGUUGGUUUAUCAACCCAUGUUUUUAUAGGUGACACAGGCAAUGAUAGUCGGAACGGUGCAUGAGGUUCAUGUAGCUAGUGAGCCUAGUGGUCCUGUGGAUUGAUCAUUUUCUUGCUACGGUUUAUGAUUCUUUGUUAUCCCAGUUAUUCAUUAAUAAUUCAGAUACUGUGGUGAUUCAGUUUAUAUUUGAAUGGUUAUUUUGAAGUAAUAAACUGUGGAUUUAUGCUUAGGUGCAUGACAGGGCAUGCAUCAUUUUCACUAAGGACUGCUUAGUUGUAUGUGCAUUUAGCCUGUUUUGAAUGUUGGGUGGUAAGUGGAUUUGUUUGGUUGUGGAACGUAACAGGUAGAUAUGCCGUGCAAAUAUAGAGCAGACUCUAUCCGUUGGGAUAUAGAAAUUUCUGUAUUUGUGAAGGGUCUGUCCACCCCGUGGUAUAUAAGGUUGUGUUUUUUUUAAAGAAAGAUGGACAUUUUUUCAUUGGCGUUACUUUCCAAGUUUAACCUUUUUCUGAAAAAGCUUUACAGAAACGUCCCCGGAGCGCGACAUUGUCACAGGGCAAGGAGUUGGACCUAUUUUAGCCAAUAAUAAAUAGGCAACAAGCCCCCGCAAUACUCUAUUAAUGCUACUUGCAAGAAUCAAAUCUGUGCCACUGGCUCUGAUAUCGCUUGUGAAUCAUAAGCACUAACCACAAUUUCGAAAGCACGUGUGACAGGAAGGACACAUCCAUCGCACUUAAGAGCUCAACUAUAGCGCUUACGAAUUUCGACCUGACUUAAUCCAUCUGAAUGCUAGAUCUAUUAUUAGGUCUUUUGCCGCUAGAUCUAUUAUGGACCACAACCUCACACAAUUUAUUGGGCCCAUCCAACUCAAAUUUCUAAUCUUCUAGGCCUGUUGUUACGGUGCAGAAAGUUGAAUCUAUUUUAGACAAUAAUAAGUACGUAACCAACAACAGAACAGAGACUGGUGGGUCCCUACUAGAAUUAUUUAGCAUGUGGUACAGGCACUUAUUGACAUGCCUAGCUAAUUUAAUAGCUGGUCCCCAUCUAAAUGGUUUGGGGCCAAAUCAUGUGCCUUUCAAACAACAGGAGAAGUAAAAAAUGGGUUAUUAUUGAAUUGAUUAAUUAAAACCUAAUCCAUCAGUUUAAUUAUUUUCUUAAUUCUAGAAUAUUAUGUCGAAAUGAGUCAUAAGUUGUUACCACAAACUUCUUAUUUAAUAGAUCUCCUUCUACAAAACUAGAACCAGUAUAUGAAAUAUUCCUUUCAAACCAAGAUUUAUUGAUCUAUAUAUAUUUUUAGGUAGAAGAAAUGUACGGAAAUUAGCCACCCUCAACUAUUAGCAAUUCUGUAAAAGAGCCCUCAACUAUUUUUUUGAUAUAGAAAUUCCUCAACUUCUAUUUUUUAUUUGAAUUUUUAUACUUAGUUAAUAAAAGAUUUUGUCAAAUCUAAUGAUUUUUUUAGUUAUUAACCAUUAGCUGGUCUAGUUUUAUUUAUUAAAAAGUGAAUUUAAUGACUCAAAUAUGCAUAUUAAUUAUGCUUACUUUUAAUAAACUUGAAAAAAUUCUAAUAUUUUGACUAAAUUAUUUAAUUUUAAAAAAUAAAGGCUAAGAACAUUUCAAUAAAAGAAAAUAAAAUUGAGGGGGCAAUUCCAAGAUGGCUUAUAAUUGAGGGCUCUACGCUAAUUUUUAUGAUAAUUUCGAGACCUAAAAUGUAUUCUUCAAGCCUGAAAUUACAAGUGAUUAAAAUUAAUGACUAAAGUGCCGCACGUCUCACAGUUCGAGUCAGAAAUUAUAAUUAAUUAAAAUUAAGGACUAAAGUAUCGCGCACCUCAUAGUUUGAGGAUCAGAAAUGUUAAUUAGCUGAACUUUUUUUUUUAUAGGGGCAAUUGCUUAUUUAUUCCUAAAAAAUUUCAAACUUUUCUAUUUACUCCUCUUAAUUAAUAUAAAAAAUAUUCUUUUAACGUUUUAAGCUAUUUUAAAUAUGCCUUACAGUUAGAUUCUACAAGUAAACUAAUAGAAACAGUCAUUAUUUUUAUAAAAUUACUAUUUUGACCAUUCAAAUAUAUCCUUAUAUCGUCACCAACUUUUCUUAUGUGCCCUUAGGUACUGUAAUUUUUUGUCAACUCUGAUAGAAAUUUAAUCCGAAUUUAAUGUAAUAAUAUAAUUUAAUAGGUACUAAUAGUAAAAUUAUUUUUAAAUAACGGAGAUAUAUGUGGUAUAUAUAUUUAAAAUAAACAUAUAUAUAGAAAUACAUAAAAUAUUUUAAAAAUUUUUAGACGUAUAAAGAUUGUACCUUUUUUAAAGUAAUUUUUUGAAUGUCGGAAUUAAAUACUCCUUUCAAACAGGAGAUUAAUCAUAUCUACAUUUUUAUUUGACAAAAAAACAAAAAACACAACCGUAGAAAAUUCAUUGGUGGAAGAGUCAUCCCAACAUGCGACGACACAUGUUGCGACUUUUUUUUUUUUUUUUCCACAUGAUGUGAUGACUCAACUUUUUGUCCCUUUUUUUAAAAAAAAGUAAUCCAACCUUAUCUCGAAUUAUUUUAGAUCCAAAGCCGCUGAAGCCGGCCGGCCUUUUCAUAGUAUUAAAAAGAAAAAACCAAGAGCUGUCAGACUAAAAUAUAGAAUAGUUUGCUUUCGGCCGUAUUCAGAUAAUUUGGAUUUGAUAAAAAUUCGGUACAGAUAUAAUAAAUAUAAAAUUUAUUUUUAAUUUUUAAAUUUGUUGAAAAAUUUGGCUUAAAAAACGGAUUCGAUAAUUAUUCGGAUAUGUGAUUUGUAUGAAAAUUGUACGUUCAUCAAUUAAAAAUUCGGAAUAAAAAAUUCGCCUAUUAAAUUUGAAUUUUUUUUCUAGAUUUAUACUACUAUCGUAAACAGUUAUAAUUCUUAAAAAUAAAAAGCUAUAAAAUAAAGUAGAUUAAUCCAUUAAUAAUUGUAAAAUAUAUAUAUAAAUAUUUUUUUUGGGAGGCGAAUGAAGAGAGAACUCAUAUUUAAAUAUAAAAUAUAAGAUAAUCUAUAUUUAAACAUAAAAAUUAUAAGUUUUUUAUUCAGAUUUUUAAUAAUUCGCGAAUUAUUCGGCUGGCCCAAAAAUUCGCGAAUAAUUUUCUUUCUUUGGAAAAAAUUCGUAGACAAACCGUUUAAUUCGGAUCUUCAAUAAUUCGCGAAUAAUUCACAAAUUAAAUAACAAAGCUUUUAGCUACCAUAUUAUCAUGUCAGGUGUUAAUCUGUCUCUCGAUUGGAGCUAAAAUGUAGCACGUACUGGUAUAUUUGCGACGCCCCACUUCUAAGGGGUUAUCUAUUUUAGGAUCCUAACAAAUUUAACUCUUUUAAUCUCUUGGUCCUAACCACCACCCAAAAUACUAUAAUCGGGUUAAAAGUUUUUAGCCCUAUUAUAUUCUAUAUAUAAGAUUAUUUGGGGUCUUACACUCUCCCACCUUUUAAGCCUUAACGUUCCUGUCAGGUUCAAACUCACAAGUAUUAGACGAUAUAAAACUCGUCUCGUUAGUCUUAACCGACCUUGUGGGGAAGCCGCACUCUGCCUACAGCAAUCGUCAGCAUAAGAGUCUCGCUCUCUCUGCUGUUUAAUCUGGCUCAAUUGAGAUUCAUUUUACACUUUCGGAUAGUAAUUUUCUUUGAUACCAACUGUGACGUCCCACUUCCCAGAGGAUUACUUAUCAUAGCACUACUCUAGUCCUAGCACGUUUAAUUUUCUUACUCUCUUGGAUCUAUCUGCCUCCCAAAAUGCUCUAGUCGGGUUAAGAGUUUUUAACCCUAUUAUAUCUUAUAUAUAGGACUAUCUGGUGUCUCAUAAUUUUUAUGUCGUACAUCUUUGCUUCCCGGUUAGAGCUUUCACCCACCACGCCGUAGGGCGUUGGAAGCUCAGAUAUAGCAAUCGACGAAAUAGAUAUGUAGUAUCAAUUUUGUCCAACUUCUAAUUAACCCAGCUUCUCCCGUGAUAAAAGUUCUACUAAAAAUGGCCAUGUUUGUUAACACGGUGAGUAAAAAUACUAGUUUUAUAUUAUGAAAGUCCUAAAGAAUUUUAAAAAAAAAUUGUUAUUUAUAGGAUUGUACAUCUAACACACUUAGAUUCAAAGGUUCACCAAACUUUUUUGAGAUUUUACUAAAAGUAAAUAAAUAUAUUAUAAGACAAGUGAUUAGAUCCACCACAAAAAGGAUGGAUGUAAACUUUACACCUAUGUUAUAGUUGUACCGAUAGUAUUAUUCAAAAUUUUAGAAUAGUGCUUUUAGUCAUUGUAAUACAAAACGUACUACAAUAGAAUUAGAUUAUAGGGACACAUUUUUAAGACACAUUUAUGUAAGUGUCCCAUCUAUUCCAGAACUUUUUCAAAAAUCUAUUAAGGCCUAAAUAUAAAGCUCAAUUCAAUAAAAAAUAAAAAAAUUUUCUACUCAAUCAACCCCACCCAGCCCACUUGGCUAGAUUAAAAAAAAAAAAAAAAAAAAAAUUGAUCACCAUCUCCUCUUUUCCUCUUCUGCCGCCUCAGCCGACGAGGUAGGGUUCCGGCGGCUAGAGUUCGGUCGCGAGGAUCUUGCAAGGUACGUAGAGGGCUACGGUCAUCACGUGUCCCUCCGCCAUAGGUCGCUAGAGGACUGGACGCCAAACAUUAAUGCAGCCCCACAUAUAGCGACCCCACUGUUACACCUGUCAAGUAGUAAAGGAGGAUUAGGAGCAGUAGUAGGAGGUUUAGCUAGAAUAAUGAGAGGAGAGGAGGCUUAGCUUUUCUCUGCUUCAGGUCUCCGGUUGGGGGAAGCGUCGGCCGUUAGCUUGGGAGUGUGGAGAGCGUCGGUGGGGUGAAGGUCGCCGGUGGAGGAGAAAAGGGGUGAGAGAAGCGGGGAGCGAAGAGGUUGAUCCGAGCAAGCCGACAAAGGACUUAGAGCGUUUGACGAGUCGACUCAAGUUCCAGACGGUUCUGGCGGAUUCGGGCGUAUGGCGGAUUCGGGCACAAGGAUGGGAGCGACUGAUCCAAUAUGUCUUGGGAGCGGGCCGAGGAAUAAGCCCAUGUGGGAAUUUGGGCAGCAGAUAGUAGGUUUAGGGAGUUCAAUUAGAAUUAGGGUUUGCUUUAGGUGAAUAAAAAGGGCAGCGUGUAACAGAAGGUUUUUUUGAUGCGAAUUAAUGAAAUUUUCUUCUUCCUCAUCAACUCCUAAUUUCUCUUAAUCUUUCUUCUUCUUCUUAAUUUCCCCAUCCAUCUCCUUCCCUCUGUCUUCCCCCCUCUAUUCUCUCUUCAUCUUCUUUAUCGGAAUAGCUCAAUUCUGAUCUGAUUAAUCCGAGUCAGGCAGUUACGGGAACCAUCAUCCUCGACGCCGUCCUUCGUCUCAGCGAGAUUUCAUCAUCGACGGGUUGCGCCGAGUCAGGUAUGUAACAAUUGGUAUCAGAGCGGUACGAUCUCAGGGCGUUGUGUGGUGAAUUCGCUUCCUAACUCCAAUCAAGUAUUGUCGAGUUUAAUAGCGAGGGGAUUUCUGCGCUGCCAAAUCUGAUACGAGAUCGGGUUUGGACAAAAGAAACCACCACAGUAACAUCCCUGAACUGUAUCACGCUCUGACCGCUUUUAAUCAUCCUCGGAUAUUAGCAAGAUUGGGGGCAAACGAGGCAACAAGUUUCGAUUUAACCCAAAAGAAUAUCUGGAUGAGAUAGAGAUGGCUGAGGGGACUAGGUUGAGAGACCUGAGUGAUCAUAUACGUACGCUAGAAGAGCAGUUCCAAAAAUUGGGAGCUGAGCAUCAAGCCGAGAUUGAGGUAAUCAACCAUCAGAUUGCCGAAGUCAAGGAGUCCGGGCAGAGGCAAUAUGAAGCGAUACAGGUCGAGGCAAAUAAAAGGCACGAGGAGCUGCUCAAGCUGUUCGCAGCUCAGCCACCUCCACUCAAGAACCAGGCACCGGUAAGCCCACUGGAAGGGAAGCCUCCACAUGCGGCAACCCUGGGAUCAGUAGAACACCAUUAAUUACCAGAGCAGAUAAAGGCAAAGGGAUUCUACCAACGCCACCAAGACAAACAGAGGAGGAAGAGAGUCAGAGCUCACCAUGGGUCAACAAGCAUAAUCAUUAUCAGUUACCUUACUCGAAGCUGGAUUUCCCCUUUUUUAACGGAGACGACCCUCGAAGUUGGAUCGAGAAUUGCGAGCAAUAUUUUGAAUUAUAUCAAAUACCCCAGCAUCAGUGGUUAAGUGUGGCAACCCUACACUUGAUCGGCAAGGCAAGGACAUGGAAACAAGGGUAUUUUAUCAACAAACAACUCGUUUCUUGGGACGAGUUCACUAAGGCCAUAUGUAGAAAAUUUUCGCAAGCGGGCGAGAGGUAUUUAAUUCGAGAAUUUAGUAACUUGAAGCAUACGGGGACUUGUGAAAAGUACCAAGAAAGGUUCGAGGAGUUGAGGUUCCAACUGCUCCAUUACAAUCCUCAUUUAUCGGAAGAAUAUUUUAUUGCUUGCUAUAUUAAUGGACUGAAGAAGAGUUAGUUCCGUUUCUCGACAUUGCUCACCCGAACACACUAGAGGAAGCAUAUGAGCAACCGCAGUUACAUGAGAAGGCCAUUGCUGUGAUCAAUCGGAAGAAUAGAUAUAUUCCCAAGACCUAUCAAUCCAACUCGCUGUAUAAGAGUUCGGAGGGGAGCAAGUAGCCAACCCAAAGUCAGAACAAGACUCCGGUAAAUCCCUAUCCGAUCAACAAAUAAUUAAUUGAACAACGUCGAGCCGCUGGGUUAUGCUUUCGGUGCGGCGACAAAUACCAUCCGGGACACGUGUGUUCCAACAAAUCGUUAAACAUCCUACAAGCUACUAACAAUAUUAUGGAGGUUUAUGAUGAAGAAUGUUUACAAACAGGACAAAGCGAAGGGGCAGCCAAUGGAAGAGAAGGCAAGGAAACUGAAAUCAUACCUGGGGAAGAGGAGCAGCAGGAAAUAGAGGUAUCAGUGCGUGCCUUAAGUGGAGAAAUACCCCAAGAGACCAUUAAGAUAAGGGGUGAAACCAACAAUCGGACUCUUACCAUCUUGAUAGACACAGGAAGCACUCACAGUUUCAUCGACCUGCUAGCAGCCCAGUGUAACGCACUGGACCUUGCAAAUUGUAGGGUUCGAGUGAUUGAGUGUAUUCUGAACUUUUCCAGACUUUCUGGUAGGUCGUUGACUGUGUUCCGACCUAUGGUUCGAGUCCCGAGAAUUGUGGUUUAAAACCUUGCAUCAAAAUCUAAAAAGUUGGAUUUUUGGUCAGCUCUCGGAUAGCCUUCAGCAGGCCGUGUACCGGUACGGGUUCGCUUGCUGUACCGGUACGGGUUCGCUUGCUGUACCGGUACGAGGUUGAUGGCUGUACCGGUACGGGCCCGCGUACCGGUAAACAGGCAGUUUUUCGGCCAAACCCGAGGCUCGGGUUUGCGUUUUCGUGGGUUGUGUACCGGUACACAAACCGGUGUACCGGUACGUAGUGCAGUUUGGGGCUGUUUCGUGGAGGGGUGUUUUUGCAAUUGUUACAACACCUUUAUAUACCACCCCAGCCCCCUUGGCUGCUCUCCUUGAGCUCCAAACAGAGAGAAACAAGGUGAGUCUUCCCCUCUUGGUUUGAUCUCCAUUUUUUGGUGAUUUUUAUGGGUUUUGAUCUUUUUCCCUUCUCUCCUUCUUGCUUUUGUGGGUUUUUUCACCAUUGGAGAAGCUUGGGAUCUUGGUUGGAGCUUGUUUGGAGAUCAACCUUCAACCCUAGAGGACUUGGAGCUUGGUUUUGAGCAUCUUGUGAGGUUAGUAAACUUAAUCUCCCAUUUGGAUUAAGUUUUGAAGGUUUCUUUUGAAUGAAACCCUAGAUUUUGGAUUCUAGGGCUAGAAUUGGGGAUUUUUGAUUUGUAGCUUCUAGAACCAAAUUGAUUGGUUUAGAACUUUGAUUUAGGUUGGAUUUGAAGGAAUCUAACUCCCUUUUGGAGUUCGUGGGGGAUUCCUUAGCGUUCGGUGAGUUUUCUCCAACCUAGCUAGAGAAGCUUAAUGUUUGAGCUUAGCUUUGUUCGUAAGCCUUGUUUGACACUUGUUCCUACAUCCCUAGGGUACUAGGAGACUAGAAGACACCCUCGUUGGAGCAAACGAGGAGUUCCGUUGUCAACUGUGGGUUUGGCUUCUUUGACAUAGGGGGAAAAUGCCCCCUACGUGGUUAAACGUUUUCGUAUACCAUAAAUGCAUGCAUAUUUAUGUUGAGUAGAAUUAUUAUGAAUUUUUGGAUGCUUAAAACGCCACCAUUAUGUGUAAUGAAAAUUUCACUCUAUGUAGUAGAGCCAUGUGAAUGACAUACAUGCAUGAGCUAUGUAAUCUGUAAUUGCAACUUGGAAAUAUGUCUCUUAUGUGGGGAAAUGACUAGAAUCAUGCAAUCUUAAGCAUAAUUGCCAUGUUAUGACUUAGUGAGCAAAAGUGUCAUAAAGGGGAACUUGAACUAGAAAACGGUUGAAACUGCAACUUAGAGACAUAAUGUUAAGCCAUUGUACAUCUGCUAUAUACUCCAUGUAGAGACAUGAUGACAUAGAGAUAGACCUUUGGGACAUUCGAUACAUUCCAUGUUAUUAGACAUGAGAACUGGGUACUUGUGACAGGACAUAUGACUACUUGCUAUUGUGCUCAUUCGCACAUGCUUGUGAGGGUCGCUCCCUACAAGUCGGCACUCCGGAGAUGACCAUCGCGAUUUAUAUUCGCCGUGCGGGAUUCGGCGCCAAAGUGGAUUGCCGUGAGCCAGGCUCAUUCCUAGGGUGGGGAUGAUGACUACCACGGGGCCACUAGGCUCGGCAUCGGCCAGACAGCCUACGGGUGGGUCUCAGGGCCAUAGACAGUCUUCGGGUGGGUCUCUUCGGAUUUGACUUUGAGUAUCCACUAUGACAUGUGGACAGAUGAUGACUUAGUAUAUUGACUGGACAUCGACUAGAAUAGUAAACAACGACAUCUUUACUAAUUGCAUUGAGGACAUCGCAUUGGUUGCAUACCUAUGGGUAUUCAUGUAUACACAUCCAUGUACAUUUAUGUUAUAGUUGCUUACUAUUAUGCCUAUCAUGCUAAGUAGAGACAUCUGGUUAUAGUAAGUUAUACUUUUACUUACCUUUCGCUUUAUUGCUUUUAUAGCUACUUACCACUUUCUUUGUAGCUUUGGGCCUUGUGGUGCAUUCACUGAAGUCAGUAAUUGCCCACUGGGAACUAUUUUUAAUAGUUCUCACGCCUUCUUUUUUGUGGUUUCUUUCAGAGCCUUCUGCACCGGCGGAGGCACGGGAUCGCGGCAAGGGGAUCGCAUAACUAGCUAGCGAGGAGCGGUUCUUUGCCUAGAUGGUUUGCUUUUUCUUUUUGUAGUUGAGAGAGUGAGAGAUUUUGUAUCCAUGUAUAGAGACCACCUAUGUAUCUACUUUUAGCACUUGUAUUUGGAAUUUUCUUUGUAUUACUUUAUGCUUUUAUUAGUGGAUUCCAGCUUUAUGCUCUUUUCUCUAUUGUAGAACUUAGUAUUAUAUCAUGCUCUGAUACUCCUAGUUGUCUUUUAUUACCGCUUUAUUUAUUGUUGUUUUUAGACGCCUUAUAUGUUUUAGACGUAUGGCGGGUCUGGGCACGCGCUGGGCGGGCUUCCGCUGGGUCCCGGGGCGUGACACCCAGGAGGUAGGAGCACGGAUGGAAGUAGCUCUACCCCUGAUAGUGACAGUAGCAAACGGGCACAAGGUUUUGAGCAAAUUAAGAUGCCCUGGAUUCACUUGGACUAUGCAGGGACAAACUUUUCGAACGGACUUGAGAGUGAUCAGGAUCGAAGGCUCUAACAUGGUACUUGGAAUUGAUUGGUUAAAGUCUUAUGGAGUGGUGACUUUCGAUUUCGUAUCCAACUCGGUGGCGAUCAGUAAAGAUGGACAGAAGUUAGAGCUAAAGGGGAUUGCGGAAGGGGCUAGAUUAAGUCUAAUAUCUGCAGCUCAGUGGAGGCAAGAAGCAGAGAAAGGAGAAUGUUAUCUCCGCAGGCACCAAUCAACACCAAAAGAUAAUGAACAGGAUGCUGACCUACUUCCGGAGAUCCAAAGGGUGCUGGAUAAAUUUCAGGAUGUGUUCGAGGAGCCAAGGGAGUUACCUCCAAUCCGCAUUCAAGACCAUAAAAUUCCUCUACAGUCUAACACAGCUCCGAUUAACGUUAGGCCCUAUCGGUACUCGCAUGAUCAAAAAGAGGAGAUCGAAAAACAAAUAAAGGAGUUAUUGAGCCACAAGAUUAUUCAGCGGAGCAAUAGUCCUUUCGCCUCACCCGCUUUAUUGGUUAAGAAAAAAGAUGGGAGUUGGAGAAUGUGUAUAGAUUAUCGCCAGCUUAACAAAUGCACGGUGAAGGACAAAUUCCUUAUACCAAUUAUAGAUGACUUGCUUGAUGAAUUGGGCGGAUCGAAGUAUUUUUCCAAGAUAGAUCUCAGAUCGGCAUAUCAUCAGAUCCGGAUGAAUCCGGGGGACAUUCAUAAAACGGCAUUCCGGACGCAUCAAGGGCAUUAUGAGUUUCGAGUCAUGCCGUCCGGCCUAACGAACGCACCCGCGACGUUUCAAGCCGUAAUGAACUAUACCUUCGAGUCAUACUUGAGGAAAUUCAUCCUGGUUUUCUUUGAUGACAUUCUAAUCUACAGUAAGAACAUUGAGGAUCAUGAACAACAUCUGCGCAUCGCUUUGGAAGAAUUGAGAAAGAAUAAAUUUUACGCCAAACGAAGUAAGUGCUAUUUUGGGCAGAACCAGGUGGAGUAUUUAAGUCACAUAAUAUCUGACGAAGGGGUAGCCACCGAUCCAUCCAAAAUUGAAGCGAUGAUUAAUUGGCCGGUACCAAAAUCUAUGAAGGAAUUGCGUGGAUUCUUUGGACUUACCGGAUAUUAUCGAAAAUGCAUAAAGGGAUAUGGAAAGAUUACCAAGCCUUUGACUGAGUUGUUGAGAAAGGAUCAGUUCGACUAGAAGGAAGAAGCACAAGUAGCUUUUGAAGAAUUAAAGUUGGCUAUGACAAUGGCUCCAGUACUCGCUAUGCCUAACUUUGGUGAACCCUUCACGAUAGAAGCGGAUGCUUGCGGCAUAGGGAUAGGGGCAGUACUGUCCCAAGGAGGAAGACCCAUUGCCUAUUUGAGCAAGGCUAUUAGCGGGAAGCACCUGGGAUUAUCAACUUACGAAAAAGAGUUCUUAGCGAUACUCAUGGCGGUUCAAAAGUGGAAGCAUUAUUUAGGUACAGGUACAUUUGUGAUUAAAACAGAUCAUGAAAGCCUAAAACACCUACUCGAGCAAAGGAUAUCCACCCCGAUGCAGCAGAAGGGCAUGCUUAAGAUGAUGGGGCUUAAUUACACGAUUCAGUAUAGGAGGGGUAGAGAAAAUGCGGCAGCCGAUGCACUAUCCAGAAGAGAAGAAGGGGGAGUUGUAUUGGCAAUCUCAGCGGCAGUACCAACUUGGGUACGACAGGUGGCGGAAAGUUACAAGGGGGAUCCAUAUUGUGAGGGGAUAAUAAAAGAGCUAACGUUGCGGCCAGACACCCCAGGAUAUUACUCCUAUGGCAAUGAGUUGCUACGCUACAAAGGGAGGCUCUAUGUUGGGCAGACUGGACCUAUACGGAAGAAAGUUUUAGAUCAAAUGCAUAAUUCUGCCUUGGGAGGCCACUCCAGAAUCCAGAACACCUAUAGGAGAGUUAAGCAACAUUUUUUUUGGCAAGGAUUAAAAAAGGAUGUGGAAGAUUGGGUCAAGGGGUGCACUGUUUGUGCUCAGAACAAAGUGGAUGGAACACCAUACAGUGGAUUGUUGCAGCCGUUGCCUAUUCCUCACCAAAUUUGGGAGGACGUAAGUUUGGAUUUCAUUGAAUCAUUACCUAAGUCAGAGGGGCGCGAUACAAUAAUGGUUGUAGUUGACCGGCUCACCAAAUAUGCUCAUUUCAUAUCUCUUAAACAUCCCUUUUCAGCAUCGGAUGUUGCUAAGGCCUUUAUGGGAACCAUCUAUAAACUGCACGAUUGUCCCAAGAGUAUCGUUUCCGAUAGAGACAAGAUAUUCGUGAGUCAGUUUUGGAAGAAGCUUUUCCAAUCCAUAGGAACCAAACUGCACAUGAGUUCGGCGUAUCAUCCGGAAACUGACGGGCAAACGGAGAGGGUCAACAGGUGCUUGGAAACCUAUUUGAGGUGCUUAUGUUUUCAGCACCCAAAAAAGUGGCAUUCUUGGUUAGCGCUAGCCGAAUGGUAGUAUAAUACAAACUUACACUCGUCAUUGGGAAUAACCCCAUACGAGGCGUUAUAUGGGCAACCUCCGCCAAAUUACCUGGUGGCCGCUGUGGAUACAGCUACCUCGCAGGAGUUUAAAGGGUGGGCUACAGAGAGAAAGAAGCUGACUAGAGAAUUAAGGGAUCGAUUGCAAAUAGCACAGAGCAGGAUGAAGCAACAGGCAGACAAGCAUAGGGUGGAGAAGGAGUACUCGGUGGGAGAUUGGGUUUACCUUAAACUACAGCCCUAUCGGCAAACCACGGUGGUGAUAAGGAAAAAUAUUAAGCUUUCUUCAUGAUUUUUUGGUCCCUUUAAGAUACUGGAGCGUAUCGGGCCAGUCGCGUAUAGGCUAGAGUUACCAGAAGGGUCAAGGAUUGACCCGGUGUUCCAUGUUUCUCUGUUGAAGAAGAGUCCCCCAUCUUCAAUUCAGGCAUCUCUGACGGCACCAUCUAUCGGGGAAGAGGAUAAGUUGCGGGUCGAACCAGAGGAAAUACUUGAGAGGCGGACGGUGACGCGCGGAAACAUGGCCGCGACCGAAGUUUUGGUGAAAUGGGCAAAUCUUCCAAGGGAGCUCGCAACAUGGGAAGAUCGUGGGUUCCUCAAAAGCCAAUAUCCAUCUUUUGAUCCUUGAGGACAAGGAUCGACUUAAGUAGGGGGGAUUGUUACACUUGUCAAGUAGUAAAGGAGGAUUAGGAGCAGUAGUAGGAGGUUUAGCUAAAAUAAUGAGAAGAAAGGAGGCUUAGCUUUUCUCUGCUUCAGGUCUCCGGUUGGGGGAAGCGUCGGCCGUCAGCUUGGGAGCGUGGAGGGCGUCGGUAGGGUGAAGGUCGCCGGUGGAGGAGAAAAGGGGUGAGAGAAGCGGGGAGCGAAGAGGUCGAUCCGAGCAAGCCGACAAGGGACUUAGAGCGUUCGACGAGGCGACUCAAGUUCCAGACGGUUCUGGCGGAUUCGGGCGUAUGGCGGAUUCGGGCACAAGGAUGGGAGCGACUGAUCCAAUAUGUCUUGGGAGCGGGCCGGAGAAUAAGCCCAUGUGGGAAUUUGGGCAGCAGAUAGUAGGUUUAGGGAGUUCAAUUAGAAUUAGGGUUUGUUUUAGGUGAAUAAAAGGGGCAGCGUGUAACAGAAGGUUUUUUUUAUGCGAAUUAAUGAAAUUUUCUUCUUCCUCAUCAACUCCUAAUUUCUCUUAAUCUUUCUUCUUCUUCUUAAUUUCCCCAUUCAUCUCCUUCCCUCUGUCUUCCCCCCUCUAUUCUCUCUUCAUCUUCUUUAUUAGAAUAGCUCGAUUCUGAUCUGAUUAAUCCGAGUCAGGCAGUUACGGGAACCAUCAUCCUUGACGCCGUCCUUCGUCUCAGCGAGAUUUCAUCAUCGACGGGUUGCGCCGAGUCAGGUACGUAACACCCACAUAUAGCGACACUUUCAUAUAGUGUCGCUAAUUUAGCCAGCAACACUUUUUUUUAUCUGUACCUAUAUUUAAAAGUGUCGCUAUAUAAUAUUUUUGUUAUAGUGACGCGACCGCAAACAGUACUUUUACUAAAUUAAUUUUCAAACCAAAUUAAGCAUGCCCGCUAACUUGCCACUCCUUUUUUGCCCUAUUUAUACAUCCCUAUGUAGCGUGGACAUAUCACACACUCACACACACCCUCCCUCAAUAUUAGCUAAAGAGAUUUAUAACUAAAGGUGUCUGUGGACCGAGUCGGGUCGGGAUAGUUAAUAUACUAUAUCCGUACCCUAAAAAAAAUUGGUUAGAAAAAAAAAUAUAUAUAUAUACCCUAUCCAUUUAACUUCAGGUCGGAUCCGGAUCUGGAUAUUUAAGUUACUAAUAUACCCGUCGGGUCUAUUUGGGCGGAUCUAGGUAGUGACUACCCUCCGUAUACUAUCCCUUUAAGAUCGGGUACUGGUCGGAUCUAAAUCGGGUACGGGUACCCGUAUACAUAUAUUUUUUUAUAAACUUUAUUAAAUAGUAUGUGGACAAACUAUAAAUCUUUCCUUAUAAAGAGAAUAUAAGUUAUAAUAAUUAUUAAUAUUACAUACUAACAUUAAAAACAAUAAAAAAAUAAAGAAGAAUUUGAAAAUUUACUAAAUAGAAUAUUCAUUAGAAAAAACUAAGUUGUCGACUUUGAUUGGAAAAGGAAUUUGGAAAAAACUUACUUGUGCAAUGCCUAUGAGGAGUAAUAUCGCUAAUGAUGAUAACGAUGUAAAUAUUAGUUCAUAAAAAACUCAUAGGCGAAAAUGAAACAAAAAAAAUAAUAAGUAAGAAAUAAAGAGUAAAAAAAAAAAAGAAAAAAAAAGGAGUAAAAGAGCGGCUAAUGUUUCAUUGUUUCACUAAGAUGAAAAUUUUUAGAAACCCUUCAUAUAUAAAUUCUAUUAAAAUUGAUCCUUCAACUUUAAAAGUUCAAAUCUUUUUUAUUUACUAUCGGAUAUUUCAUCGGGUCCGGAUCCGAGUCCGGAUUUGAAAACUAUUCCGGACCCUACCCAUUUAAAAGUUGGGUUCGGGUCGGGUCCAAAUCGGGUAUGGGUAUAAAAUAUCCAGACCUAUGCCCGAAACUUUAAUGGGUAAUUUUCUUUACCCGUAUACUAUCCAUUUUUUAUCGGGUCUGGUUCGGAUCCGGAUAGGGUCCGGAUAGGGUCCGGAUAGGAUAUGGUAUAUCGAAUAUUUUGGACAGCUUUACUUAUAACAAAGAUGUCUCACCCUCGUGCCACCGGCUUUGAUACCACAUGUGGAUAUAACCACAAUUCCAAAAACACAUGUGAUAGAAAGAACACACCCAUCACACUUAAGGGCUCAAGUAUAGCGCUUACGAAUUUCAAUCUGACUCAAUUCAUCUGAACAUUAGAUCUAUUAUUGGGUCUUUUACCGUUAGGUUUAUUGUGGACCGCAACCUCACUUAACUUAUUUAGCUCACCCAAUUCAACUUACUAAUCUUCUAAGUAUGUUGUUAUGGUACAAAAAGCUGAAUAUAUUUUAAUCAACAAUAAAUAAUCAACAGUAGGGACCGUGCGUAGUGGGUCCCUGCUAGAAUUAUUUAGCAUGUGCUACAGGCACUUACUGACAUGCCUAGCUAAUUUAAUAGCUGGUCCCCGUGUUAAUGGUUUGGGCCAAAUCAUGUGCCUUCUAAACAAUUGGAGAAGUCAAAAAUGGGUUUUUAUUGAAUUGAUUAACCAAAACCUAAUCCAUCAAUUUUUUUUCUUAAUUAUAUAUAGAAUAUUAUGUCGAAAUGAGUCAUGAGUUGUUAGCACAAACUUCUAAUUUAAUGCAAGAUGACUUAAUGGGUAUUAAAAAUAAGGUUAUUUUUGAAUAACGGAGAUAUAUCCGAAGGUAUAUUGGAAAUAAAAAAUAGGAUUAAUUACAUACAAGUUCCUAUAAAUAUAGUAAAUUGUAAAUAUAUGUACAAAAUUCAAUUUUUAUAUAUUGUCCCUACAAAAGUCCUAAUUAAUAUUUUCAAAAAUAUUCUUACUGUUAAAAUUUGUUAGAAAAUUUUAUUUAACUAUAGGUUAAAUACUUAACCCUGCUUAGUUUAUGAGAUAAUUUGACAUUUUUACUCCUUUUAUAUUAUACUGUUGUGAUGGCAAAAUUGUAAAUAUAAAUAGUUCUCUAAUGGUGACAAAUCAGAAGGUAUAUUUAAAAAUAUUAGAACUUUUGUAGGAAUAAUAUAUAAAAGUUGAAUUUUUUUAAAAUAUAUUUAUAAUUUAAUAUAUUUGGAGGGACCUGCAUGUAUUCAAGCCUAAAAAAUAUAGAAGUAUAUAAAAUAUUUUAAAAAUUUUUAGACGUAUGUAGGUAGUUAUACUUUUUUUUUAACUAAAUUUUCAAAGGUCGGAAUUAAAUACUCCUUUCAAACAGGAGAGUAAUCAAAUCUACAUUUUUAUUUGAUAAAAAAAAAACACAAUUGUAGAAAAGUCAUUGGUGGAAGAGUCAUCCCAAAACAUGCGAGUUCACAUGGUGUGAAUUCUCGAUUUUUCCACGUGAUGUUAUGAGGCUUUCAAUUUCUUUUUCACUUUUUUUUUUUAAAAAAAAAUCCAAUCCUUAUCUCGAAUUAUUUACCAUCCAAAGCCGUUGAUCGAAGCCGGCCUUUUCAUAGUCUUAAAAGGAAAAAACGAAGAGCUUUCAAACUAAAAUAUAAAAUGUUGCUUUUAGCUACCAUAUUAUCAUAUUAGGUUUUAAUAUGUCUCUAGUUAAUUUGGAGUUAAAAUGGGACACGUACUGAUAUAUUUGUGACGUCCCACUUUUCAAGAGUUCAUCCAUUCUAGCUAGAACUAUUACUGUAGUCCUAACACGCUUAAUUCUUUUAUUCAUUUCUCGAAUCUGACCAUCACUCAAAAUACUAUAAUCGGAUUAACACUAGUUUUUAACCCUAUUAUAUAUUAUAUAUAAGAUUACCUGGGGCCGACCUUUUUAAGUCCUGACGUCUCCGUCAAGCUCAAACUCACAAAUAUUAGACGAUUUGAAACUCAUAUCGCUAGUCUUAACCGACCUUGUGGGGAAACCGCACUCUGCUCAUAACAGUCAUUAGCAUGAGAGACGUCUAGCUCUUCCUGCUGUUUAAUCUGGCUCAACCGAGAUUCAUCUCGCACUUUCGGCUGGUAAUUAUUUCUGAUACCAACUGUAACGCCCCCUUCCUAUGGGAUCACCCAUUAUAGAAUUGCUCAAGUAUUAGCACGCUUAACUUUCUUAAUCUUUUAGAUCUAUCUACCAUUCAAAAUGUCAUAGGUGGGUUAAAAAUUUUAGUCCUAUUAUAUUGUAUAUAUAAAAUUGUGGAAAAACUUCAAAAAAACCCCCUGUGGUUUCAUUGUUUCUCACUUUAGUACCCUGUCGUUUAAAGUGUAUCAAUUUGCCCUCAUGUGGUUUCGUUUUUAUCUUUUCGGUAGCUUUUUCGUUAAUAUUUCAUUAAAUUAUAUACAAAAAACUUUAUAUACCCAUCUAGAUUUAUCAAGUAUUCACUUUAGUACCCUUUAAUUUUAACUUUAUCACUGAUUUAAGAAAAAAAAUAAUAAAAUUGAUAAGAAAAAGAGAAAAAAGAAACCACAGGGGGGCAAAUUGAUACAUUUUAAACAAUAGAGGGGCAAAGUGAGAAACUACGAAACCACAGAGGGGUUUUUGAAGUUUUCCUUAAAAUUAUUUGGGUUCUCACAAUUUUUAUGUUGUACAUCUUUGCUUCCUGGCCAGAGCUUUCGCUCCCCCACACAGUAGGGCGAUGAAAGCUCAGAUAUAGCGAUCGACAAAAUAGAUAUGCAGUAUCAAUUUCGUCCAACUUCUAAUUAAUCCAGCUUCUCCCGUUGAUAAAAAGAUUCAUAGUUUUUCUUGGAUUAAUUCUACAAAACUAAGAUCUUCUAGUGAAGAUCAUGACCUAGCUUUCUAAAAGUUCUACUAAGUAUGGCCUUGUUUGUUAACAAGGUGAGUAAAAAUACUAAUUAAUUUUAUAUUAUAAAGAAUUUUUUAAAAAAUGUUAUCUAUAGGAUUAUACAUCUAAUACACUUAGAUUCAAAGGUUCAUCAUACUUCUUUAAGGUUUUAGUAAAAAUAAACAAAUUAUAAGACAAGUGAACAGAUCGGCCACAAAAAGAAGAUCAGGCAUAAAUUUUACACCUAUGUUAUAGUUGUACAAGUAGUAUUAUUUAAAAUAUCAUAAAACGAUGUUUUUACCCAUCGCAUUACAAACCACGACGGUAAACAGUAUUUGUACUAAAUUUUUUGUUUUUUUUGAGAGAUGUACUAAAUUAAUUUUCAAACCAAAUAUUAAGCAUGCCCACUAACUUGCCACUGAUCCUUUUUUGCCCUAUAUAUACGUCCCUAUGUCGUGUGGCCAUCUCACACACACACACACACACACACCUCCACCUCAAUAUUAGCUAAAGAGAAUUAUAACAAAGAUGUCUCACCCUCGUUAUCUUCUACUGCCCUUGAAUUUGAUCACCAUCACCUUAGCCUUGCUCUCUCAAAGAUCUCAAGCCCAGCUGAGCCCCUCCUUCUACGACUGCACCUGCUCCGACGUGUCGGCGAUCGUUCGCAGCACGGUGCAGCAGGCGCAGACCUCCGACCCCCGCAUCUACGCCAGCCUCACUCGCCUCUUCUUCCACGAUUGCUUCGUCCAAGUAACUUUCUUUUAGUUAUAUAUAUAUGUAUUUCACUUCUUUUCCUAUUCUAAUCUCAAAAUCGAGAACUUAUAAGUUGUACAUGAAGAAACAUCGAGUUAAUGUCCUAAUUUCGACAUUAAUAUGCACCACAUAUAAGUUAGUUAGGAUAUAUAGUACUCCCCGUACUAUGCGUUUACUUUUUUUCUUUUUUUUUUUGAGAGAAAUAUAACAUGCUACCGCUUUAUUCAGUAAGAAAAUGAAUUUAGUAAUAAAGUGAAGUAUCGUGGCUUUGUAAGAGAUCGAAAAAAAAAAAAAAAUCACUAAACACAAUAAUUAAUGAUCCCAUAUAUUCUUGAGUGCGUAUACUAAACACAAUAAUGUCUAUGCGUUACUUUUUAUUUAAAUAUUUUGGUCUCUGAACUUGUAUGCAUAUUGUGCUUUCAGUGGCAAUAAUCAAGAAGUUUUAUUUUUAUGAAUUAUUAUUUUAAUCCUUUUGUAUGCCUAACUUAGUUUAGUUUGCUCUAAUCAAGAUUAUGAUGCUAUCAAUUUUACAACUAAAAUCAAAUAUGUUCUUUUUAAUAUUCAAGAAAUGAAAGUAUAGCAUGUGUGUACAGAAACUAAAGUGUGCAAAUAAUUAAUGAAGGUUAGUACCAAUUUGCAAUAUUCUACCCUAAAAUUUUUUUAGGUUACUUAUAGAAAUACUGGAUUUCUUCAUCGACAAACUUGUUUGAUCAACUUUUAGGGUUGCGACGGGUCGAUUUUGCUGGUCGAUAGUUCGACGAUUCAGAGCGAACAGGAUGCGCGACCAAACAAGAACUCGGCUCGAGGUUUCAACGUCGUCGACGACAUCAAGACGGCCGUGGAAAAUGCUUGCCCAGGAGUCGUCUCCUGCGCCGACAUUCUCGCUCUCGCUGCUGAAGCUUCAGUUAACUUAGUAAGCCAUUUUUUCCAUCUCUCUCUCUCUCUCUUCGAGUCUCUAUAAUGGAUUCUCAAUAUUCGUACAGAUGUAUCGAUACGAAGUUUUAUUUAUCAAAUAUAUUCCUCCGGAGGUGCAUAGCCUACAAAUAUAUUUCUCUGUUAGUUAACCAGUAAAAAUUAUUUUUUCUACAAAAUAUUUUUAAUUAUAUUUUAACCUUAUUUAUCAUUUUUGAUAUUUUUAUUUUAACUUUCUUAAUUUGUUGGAUUUUGCACUGAUGUACUAGUCACCAUAUCUCUCUAUGGAUCUCUGAAAACAAGUGGUAAGAAGGUGACAGGAAGUACUUCUCCUUAAAAUGAGAUAUAAUUCAUUUUCAAAGCUGCAACCACUUUUUUAUGAACUUGGUCUUGUUACUUUAUUAUCUUUUGACUGGUGAACAAGUGAAAAAUUUAUUAUCGGAACUGUGAAGAGAAUUGAUAGUUCUAAUAAACAGGCUAAAUUAUAAAAUAAUAAAUUAAUUUUUAUCUUGUAUCUUAUUUCCAUCUCAAAGAGAUCCAAUUUUAAAAUAAUUGUUUAAUUCUGCUUUAAAAUGUUAUAGUUUUAGUAAAAUUUACCUCUAUCAACUUAUUUUGGUAAAAUUUUACAAUCAAAUAUAAAAAUUAUAUAUUCCAACGUUUGGGAUGUUUUGACACAACAAUAAAGUGUAGGGGAAAGUUAAUGCAAUUUUUAAUACAAGAAGGUAUAUUUAAGAAAUGAGCUAAAGUGAACAAAAAGAUUUCGUAAUCUAGGGUAAUAAAUUAAUAUGCCGACAUAUAUAGCUUGUAGACACUCAACUUCUUAAUGAGGAUUAGUUAGGAGAAGGUAUUUUAAUGAGGGUUAGUUAGGAUAAGGUGAUUUGACAAGUUCUUGGUGCAAUUAAUAGCACUAAGCACUUGGUGCUAUCAAGUUUUCCGCCGUUAGAUCUAUCAUUUUGACAAUUUCCACCAAUUAGAUCAUACUAUUCAAUAACCAUCCACUCAAUUCUAAGGCUUCGUUUGGUUCGCGGUUAAGUAAGAACUAGUUAUUCUAGUGAUAGGGUUAAGUUCAGGGUUAAACCUAGAAUAGAUCAAUUUUGUUUUUGGAUGAUAAUUAAGCUGUUCUUGGAAUUAAGAAAAAUAGAGUUUGGAUAGAUAAGGUGGAAUAAAAAGAAUAGUAGGUAGCUAUAAAUAAAAAAUAAUGAUAUUACCCCAAUUAUUAUAUUUGAAUUUAAAUUUUUUUUAUUUCAUAUUUAAUUUUCAAAUUUAAAUAGAUAACUUUUACAAUUAAAAAUUUAAAUUAAUAUCUAUAUUUUUAAAUCUCAAAUUUAAAAAUUUAAAGUUAUAAAUUUUAAUUUUAAAUUUUAAAUCAAAUCUAACAAAUAUAAAAUUACAAAUAUAAAAUAUCAAAUUUAAAAUUUAAAUAAUUAAAAUAAUAAUUUAAACUUUAAAAUUUCAAUAAUUAAAAUAACAAUUUAAAUUUUAAAAUUCAAAAUUAAAAUCUAUAUUUUUAAAUCUCAAAUUUAAAAAUUUAAAGUUAUAAUUUUUAAAUUUUAAAAUUUAAAUCAAAUCUCAAGUUACAAAUAUAAAAAGUUAAUUUUAAAAUUUAAAUAAUUAAAAAUAAAAAUUUGAAACUUAAAAUUUUAAAAAAUCAAUAUAAAUUUUAAAAUUUAAAAUUAUAUAAUUUUAAAAUUUAAAAUUUAAAAUUAUAUUUAAAAAUUAAAUAGGGGUGGGAACCCCUGUUCCAGGGGUGGGAUAGGGUAACUCCACCCCAAAUGGGUUAUCGCGAAUAAUCCAUUUGGGGUGACAUUAACUAAUCCCACCCCCUAAAAAUUGUGUUUGGGGUUAAAUAGGGGGAUAACCCCUUCAUCCCCCUCUUUAAUCCCGAACCAAACGAGGACUAAGGGACCACUAUCAUACUAACCGAACAUCCCUUCAUCUAAAUUAAGGGCUAAAACCUAAUAGCACAAAUGACUUGGUACUAUUAAUAGUAUAGUAGUCUAAUUCUAAAUAUAUGUACAUAUAUAUAGCCCUGUGACCAUUUCAACUCCUUAGAUCAUACUAUUCCAUCAGCCAAUCACUAAACUCUGAGGAACCGCUGUCAUCCUAGCUAACCGCAUUUCUUCAUCCACGAGGCGAAAACUUUCACCUCCCUACAUCGUAAUUGACUUCGACCUGCGAUAAGCAGAAGUUUUUUAUUUUUUAUCUUUUUUUUUGAGAGAUAGGUAGCACGCUAGCUGCUUCGUUUAUUUCAUUUAGAAAUAAAACUUGGCUGGAAUUGUGAAUCAACUAGGAUUCGAACUUGGGUCUCGGGUACCAACCUCCAAGCCCUUUGCCACUUGCUCUAGGGACGGUCGGUACGGGCCAAAAACCUUAAUACCAAUGACUUCGUGCUAUUAGCAGUAUUCUAGCCUAGUUCUACACACACAUACACCUUGUUGUGUGCUAUUAUGAAUAUUUUUGUGAAACAAAUAUAGAAAGUGGAGAGCAUAAGUUUUGAAGCCACUAAAUGAAUAACGGUUAAAAAAAAUAACUUUUACCAGAACUUUAAUUCGAUUAAAAGUCAUUUUCAACCUAUAAAAUAGUUACAAGCACAAACAACUUGGACCCUUCUAGUGGAGUUGAGCUUGAGCUAGGCUUAUUGAACAUCUGACCAACUUAGGCCCCCUAUGGUACUGAGGGUUGUUUAAUGCUAUUGGAUAAAAAAGAUUGCUAGGGCAAAAUCAUAUAAACAUAUGCUACCCCAUUUUAUACGGACAAUGAAAAUUAUAUAUUGUAUCUGGAUCAUUGCAUUUACAGCGUGAUAUCUUUUAUGCAAAUAAUGAAUGAUAUAUUUUUUCAUCACACUUUCUGUCUGUACAUAAUGCAUCGUCCAUUUAUUCCAAAUAGAAACUUAGAUGGUUAAUGAUCCAAGAUAAAACGAUUGUCUUUUUUAAAAUUUGUUAUUCUUUUUAAUCCUUGGGUUGGAGUGCAACUAAUUUGUAUCAUAAUAAUAAUUGUAAUAGGCCGGGGGACCGUCAUGGACUGUGUUAUUGGGGAGAAGGGAUAGCACCACUGCAAACUUCACUGCAGCCGGCAAUCUCCCCGGCCCCUUCGAUAACCUAACCACUCUCCAAAAGAAGUUCUCCGACGUCGGCCUCCAUGACAUCGAUCUCGUCACAUUAUCAGGUAUCUGCAUAAUCAUCAAAUAUCAACACUUUGUUCUAUUACUGUCGUUGUUCUCAUUCAAUUUCUCUACUCGAAAUGCAAAAGUUAAACGUUCUAAAACAUACACACAAAACUGGAAGAAAUUAUGGUUUGUUUAGCUCCCAGUAAAUUAAGCCCUAAAAAAUUUUAGAACUUCUACUUUCGCCAAGUGGCAUUGCUGGGUGUUGCCAUAUAGUAAUGAGUUGUUUGCUUGAUCAUGUAUUUAAUAGACUCAAAAUCAAGAUCAUGUCUUCUGAAUUUCUUUACAACUCAGUGCAUAAGAAAAUUUUAUGCACGAGACGAACCUGCCGCUCAUCGAGGGUAGAAUUUAUAAACCUAUUUUAAAGUGAGACAUGAACUCCUAGCUAGCUCAAUGUAGAAUGCGUAGUUGCAACUAUGACAGAACGAAAAAGUAAGUGGAUUUUUCUUUCUUUUUCUUUCUAUUCUUUGUAGGUAGUUAGUGAUGUUCUCUUAUGCAUUCACUUUCGUCGAUAACAGGAGCUCACACAUUCGGCCGAGGCCAAUGCCAGUUCUUCAGCAAUAGUCGGCUCUACAAUUUUAAUGGCACCGGGAAACCAGACCCGACCCUAAACUCAACCUACCGAACUAUACUGGAGCAAAACUGCCCCCAAGGUGGGAACGGAUCGGUCCUGAACAAUCUCGACCCGAUCACACCGAACAAGUUCGAUGGCAACUACUAUAUAAAUCUACAGAACCACAGAGGGCUUUUCACAUCCGACCAGGAACUCCUGUCGGAUCCCAACGCGACGACGACCGCCUCGAUUGUAAACAAUUUCGCCGGCAACCAGCGCGCAUUCUUCAAUAGCUUCGUGCAGUCGAUGAUCAAAAUGGGGAAUAUUAGUCCCUUGACAGGGAGCAGUGGGGAGAUCAGAACCAACUGCAGUGUGGUGAAUAGUGGAUCCGGUUUGGAAUUGCAUAUUCAGAUUCGACACGAUUCAGACACGGGUUCAGCUGCAGAAUAAGAAAUUAAAAGAUAGGGUAAAUUGCAUGUUUGGUGCUCAACUAUGAGGUGGGUGACUUUUUGGUCCUCGAUCUUUAAUUUGUUGCAAUUUCUGUCACAAACUUUCCGAAUUAUCACAAGCAAGUCCUGCAACCCAAUUUAAUUAAUUAAAUAUUCAUAUAUCGCUAAAGUAGAAGUGAUAUAGCAUUGAUGUGAUUGACAAUACAUCAAUAAUUAAGAUGACACAUCACUUUUACAUCAGCGAUACAUCAACAUUUAAUUAACUAAAUUAGAUCGUAGAAUUUGAUUAUAAUAAUUCUAAAGGUAGAAGCCAGAAAUUACAACAAAUUAUAAUUUGAGGACUAAAUGGUCACCGGCUUCAUAGUUUGAGGACAAACAUGCAAUUUAUGGUAAGAAAUAUACAUGGUUGCUGAACUUAAAUCUAAAUUUCGAACUCUUUGUGAUCACAAUAAUAUGAUUUGAGACAUAUCCUCCUUUUUCUCUCUCUCUUCUAUCUCUUGCUCUCUUUCGUAUCUUACUUUUUCCUUAUCCACAACUGUACUCUAAUAAUGCGAAAAAAAAGUCUAAAAUAGAACAGUCGCAUAGAUAAUGUGGUAUUUGUUGGAUUGUUCGUGCUAACCAUUAAUUCCAAAAGCACUACAACAGAAUUAGGUUAUAGGGACACAUAUUUAGGACACUUUUGAGUAAGUAUCUCAUUUAUGCUAAAACUUAAAAACACAUCUACUAAUGCCUAAAUAUAAAGCCCAAUCCAACCAAAAAUAAAAGAUUACUCUACUAAACCCACCACACCCAGUCCAUUUGGCCCGAUUACAAACAGAAAAGAAAAAAAAAAAAGAAAAAUUAAUUACCAUCUUUUCUUCUCUCUUCACUUAAUCCACUGAAAUUCUAGACGAAGAGCCUUUACUGUCGUCCUCCUCCGCCACCGCAGCCAAUGAGAUAGAGUUUCGGUGGUUGCUAAAUGCUUAAAUAAGUAUUGAUAAAUUAGCAGCACUCUUUUAGGUUAUAGCGACACUCUUUAACUGUCACUAUAUACCUAGCGACCCCACAUAUAGCAACAAUUUUUAAAAGUGUCGGUAAUUUUAGCUAGCAGCACUUUUUUGACAUGUACCUAUAUUUAAAAGUGUCGCUAUAGACCAUUUUUGUUGUAGUGAAGCUCGAACUGUUAGAAAUACGCAAUCAAUUCACUUAAAGCGUACAGAUACAGCGCCCAUGGAUCUCGAUUGUGACUCGGUCCAACCAGCCUUAUGUCAUUUCGAACAUGACUCCGCCUACAUGACCUCCCGCCGUAGAAUAGGAUGCUGGCCCAUUUAAACCAGCAAUAUUAUCUUCAACCAAUCACAUUUGAACCCUAGAACUCACUCAUGAUUCGAUCACGGGGUUUUAGAAAAAUAUUUUCUUUUGUAUUUUUCAAUAAAGUAUGGUCUCACCUUGCUUUCAAUAAAGUAUGUUUUUCCUCAAGUACGAGUGCCCUCACCUUUCUUUCAAUAAAGUAUGGUCUCACCUUUCUUUCAAUAAAGUAUGUUUUUCCUCCAGUGCUAGAGUCCUCACUUUUCUUUCAAUAAAGUAUGUGUGUGUGUGUGUGUGUGUGUGUGUGUGUGUUUUAUAUAUCGUUUCUCCCAUUUCUUCUCACAAUAAACAAGAUGCAUAGGCUUUCAUCAUGCUCUCUCGAUCUCUUUCCAUUAUGGUGCCUUAUCUUAAUCUACUCGUUGUCCCCCGUUGAUCGAAGCACUAGUUUGGUCAUCAUAUUGUCGAGCACUAGUUUGGGCAUCGUGAUCAGUAUUCUAAUCAUAGUGGUCCGCGGUGGAUUCAAUAAAAGUGAUGUCGCUCACCAGCUGGGUGACUGCUUCCAUGGGUGUGUUUGAUUCGCUCAUUUUUCACACUCUUAAAUUAGAAUUGGAAUAAACGAAUCUGUUUGUUCGUAUUUGGUAUAUAAGAUUUUCAUUCUAAUUUUUAUUUCUCGGUGAAUGCGAAUCCCUUAAUUACUUCUUUUUCCAAUCCGGAUCCGGACGGAAUGGAUUUGUUCGGAUUAAAUUUAAUUUUUUUAAACUUAUUUUUUAAUUAAAAUAUAAGUUCAAGUUUAAAAAUUAUGUUUAUAAAUUUAAAUUUAAAUUUGAACUUAAAUUAAAAAUUAAAAUUCAAUCAAGUAUUUCGAAUCUAAUUUAUAAAUUUGAAUUUGAAUUUAAAUUUAAUUUAAAAUCUAAAAUUUUCUUCCAAUUUUAUUUAAAAUUUAAAUUAAAAUAUAUGAAUUCAAAUUGAAAUUUAAAUUAUAAUUUUAAGUUUGAAUUUGAAUAAAUCGAAAUUAAGUUUUAUAUUUUGAAUUAUCCGUUCAAUUUCUAAUUUUUAUUUUUUAAAAAAUAUAUUUAAAAUUUUGACAUUAUUUUAAAUAUUUGAAGUAAAUUAUUAAUAUUUAAUUUUUAGUUUGAAUUUAAACUAAUAUAUUAUAAAAAUAAAAUUGACAUAUUAAUUUGCUUACAUUUUUGAUAUCAUCUAUCUGAACCAAACACCGACAAUAGAAAUGAUUCAUUCCGAUUCUGAUUCAGGUGGCAAACUAUAUAAAAUAAGAUAAUGAAUCAUUCCAAUUCUAUUUCCAAUUUAUUCUCAUACCGUUUUCGAUACUAAUUUCGAUCUUGAAUCAAACACACCCUUUAUGUCCCAAGUUUGUCUUUAUAGUUUUUUUUUCCUUUAUUUCUCAUGGGCUUUCACGAUUAUGCCUUUGAUUGUUCUGUUAACUUAGUUGCUUAGAUUUGGGAACUAAUCUAUAUAUCUUUCUCAUCUCUAUUUAAAUUAGGUUUGGGGACUGUCUAUUGUAUCUUUCCAUUUGUUUGGUUUUGGAAUUUUAUGUAUGUUUUCUUUUUAUAUCUUUAUUGUUCAGGACUCUGCUCAAAAUUUUUCUUGAAAAUUAAUUAUUGUCAUAAUCAAGUCCUACUUCAAGGGAAUGCCUACGGUUUUUUUCUUUUAAAAAAAUAUAUAUCAUUUUAGAUAUAUAUAACUCAUAUAUAUAUUUUCCAAAGUGAACUAUUUACAAACCCAAAAAAAGGUGAAAUAAAAAGUUAGUAAAUUUUUCCAUUUUUUUUAAAAAUUAUUUGUUAAGUUCAUUGAGGUUAAAAGCGUUAGGAAUGGCUUCCAUUUCGCUGUUAAUUGUAGAUUGUUUAAAACUUUGUAACUGUUUCGUGUCAAAAAUUAAUCAAGAGUACUAUUUUUUGUUUUUUUGUUUUGAAAAUAAGUUUGCAAACUUACAAUAAUAUAUAAAAAAGAGUAUAUAGAGAAGUCCAUCUCUAGUUUCUUGAAUAAAGUAGAACUUGAGCAAAGCAAAAAUAAUAUACACAAACAAGGGCAAAUACAACAUUAGCUAUUUAAAAAACAGGGGUUAUUUUUAUAAAUUUUAAAUUUUUUAAUCAAAAUACUAAAUUAAAUGGAAAUAAUUUAUUAUUAUUAUUUUUUAAUUUUAUAUAUUUUUAAAAAAUUAAAAAAUUAAAGGGCCGGCCUGGGGCAUGGCCCGGCCCGGCAUGGCCCGUGACUUCUGGGCUGCAGGGCUGUGCUGGGCUGGGAGCUGGUUAGCUCUGGCCCAGCACGGCUCGGCCCGAAUUUGACGACGGGCUGGGCCGGGCCGCCCCAUGGCUCAUUUCAGCCCGACUAAUGAGGGCCAUGCCGGUCCGGCACGGCUCAUAUUACACCCCUAUCCCUAAUCUUUAUUAUUUUGUUCAUUAUGGCCUUUGCCAUCUAAGCAUUACACAGAGUAACUAACUCAACGCAACUUCUGUGUUUACGACCCAAAACUAUGAUGCUAGAUAAAGUAAGUCUUGUGUGAUAACCAAACUCGGUAAUAUCGAUCAAAAUGCUUUUGUUUAGUUAUUAGUAUCAGAAUGUUUAUUGCUUAUAUACUGGCAAUAAUUUCUUUUUAUGCAAUACGAAACUAGUUGAGUACUGUAGAUUCUCCCUUUUUAAACUUUGACGGUUAAACUUUGACACUCAAUCAAUUUUACACACAGAGACUCUCUUCGUUGCAAAUGGCGCCCUUGUGAAUUCUAGCCGAACACAUAGUCCAAAAUAACUAGCUAGACAUGAGUUCUUACUUUAAGCUUAUAACUGCUUUGGUAACAUCUGUUAUACCCAGUCCACUAGAUCCUAAGCAAGAACCAUAAGCCAAGUUAUUAAUAUUAGAGUGCUUGGUCCUUGCAUACCCAGAGGAAGUUUCGUUUCAAGCCAAUAUGAAAAUAUUGGAGUGUCACAUCUUAAUAAGUGUCACGCAUCUUGUUACCAAAACCUAUGGCUUACCCCAAAAAAAAAAAUUCUAUAGAUGAGAUUUUUAUCCAUAUAUGUGAAAAAAACUACAGUUGCAUAUUGUUUCCUUUAAAUUUGAUAUUAGCACAUAAACUAGGCUGAGAUUGCGACGCCCUAAUAGUCCCACAUUUUGUGGGAAGGAAAUUAUGCAUGAAAAUUUAAGGACCAAUUAAUGCUCUAAUAGUAAUAACUAAGCUUAAACAUUUUAGGUUAUGUUGGUUCAUAAUUGAAAUAUGGAUAGAAAAAAUAAUUGGGUUGUAUUGGAAUAGAACAUGAAAUAGCAAAUCAUGCAAAAAUAUUUGUUUUAUUAUUGGAAUAGAUAUUAAAAUGGAUAUCUAGAAUUAGGGUUUUGCUUAAGAGAGAAGGGAGUGAAAAGGGAAGAGAAGAGCGAAGUGUUUGAGAGAGACGGCUUUGAGUGAUUUACUUUGGAAUGGACCAAUCCAGAAUUGAAAGCCGGAUAGAGCUAUAAAUGGAUAUGGUCAUUCCCAUUCCAAAAUGGAGUGCAAAUAGAAAUUCUUUUUCUGUAAAACAAGUAACAAUUAUCAGAAUCAAUAAAAAUCUCAUUUUGAUCCAAAGUCUAAAAUACAUAAACCAAACAAGUCUUUAGUUUCAGAGUCGGUAUCGAUAUGCUAGUCGAUAGUGUGAGAUAAGAUGACCUAAUAGUCCCACAUUGGAUGAAAGAGAACUAUGCAUGGAAACUUAAGGACCAAGGCUUAGUACUAAAACUGGCCUUAAGCAUUUUGGGCUAAUGGUUUAGGCCGAAUGAGUUAUUAGUUUAGUGGAUUUUAGUCGUUAUAGAGAUGUUGCUAGGCCUUGGUGCUAUAGAUUCAUUUUUGACGAUAGGGCUUUCGAUUCAAUAACCGACACGGCUAAAAAUGGUUGAGGUACUUUGUAAAUCGUAUAAACAAAUUUUGGAAUAAUUUGAUGCCAUUCAUGUAGUGAUCAAGCAACCUCAAAAUUGAAAGUUUUUCAUUUUUGUUUUAUUAUAUUUUUAAGAAUUUUUAAAUUGGCCAAUUUGCAUAAAAAAUCCACUACUUUUGUGAUUUUUAAAAAGUGGGUCAUUAUUCUGAUUUUGUAAAUUCGGGCAAGAUUUUCAGAAAAUUAAUCAAAAUACCUUUAUUCUCUUUUCUCUCUCUCUCUUUUUUUUCCUUUGUUCUUUUUUUUUUUUUUCUUUCAGACCCUCCUCUACCACCUCCGCGGCCCUCAACGAUGGACGAGGGCAGCGCUGUCUCCUCUUCCUCCACCUCUGCCUACGCCGGUAUCAACACCGAAGUCGGCGCCAGAGGAGAAGAACUCGGAGUCGCCUCUGCCUCUGCCUCCGUUGGCAUCGGCAUCAACACAGCGCUAGAGGCGAAGAACUCAGAGUGGGCGUGGAUGAGGGCGAAGCAAAUGGAAGCGAUGAGCUCGUGGCCGAUGAGGUGCUCACUGCCCGUGAGAAUGAGGACGAAGACGUGUCCAUCUCCAAGGAGCGAAAAAAGAUAUAGAGGGUAGAAAAAAAAAGUAAAAAAAUAAGAAAAAAUUUCUCCUUAAAAGACCAUUAUAUAUCAUCGUAUUACAGGAAAGGCCAAGAAUCAGAGAAGAAUGAAGAAGAAGAUGAUGGUUGCACUAUUAAUAUAAAGUUACACUGUUUCACAAAAAAAUACACUAUUUAAGAUGAAUGUUGUACUCUUUGAAAUGAAAAUUGUAUUCUUUAAAAUAAAUUUGCAUUCUUUCGACAAAAGCUAUAUUAUUUUAGAGAAAAUUGCACCCUACUUUCUAUGGCAACCACUCUCGCCAGUGCAAAAAUGGGUUGUAGCUCGGCUUCUUCCUCUUUUCAUAAUCAUUUUUGAACUACGAAACGCUUGGUUUCCAUUUUGGUUGUAGGUGUAACCAACCUGCUAUUAAAGAUAUAGUAGAAAUAGAAAAGGACUUUCAUUUCCAGUCUACCAUUAUUUAAUAUUUUAUUUAUGCAGUGAUUUCAAAUCCAGAAGCAUCAAGUAAAAUCAUUCUAUUCGGAUUCAGCCUCCCCUACGCGAGGCUCGCCUUAUUCCCACGCGGCAGCGGAGAUCUGCUACCGCCACCGCCACUGCCACCACCGGCGUCGGAGCCAUGUUCAACAAGAUCAUCAAGCACGGCGGCCGCAAGAUGCCCAAAUCCGAGUCCUCCUCCCUCGACCCCUCCUCCCCGCUCCCUCUGCUCUGCUCGUCUCCAUCAACCACACCUCCCGCUCGACCACUGCCGUUGCCGCCGCAUCCCCGCUCUCCCCGGGCUCUUCCUCCAUCGCCAGCCGCCGCACGAGCUCAUUGAGUUCAUCCAAUCCGACUCCUCGGGGCACGUCCCAGAGCCCCUCUAGGACGAGCUCCAACACGACGCACGGGGUGGAGAGGCUCGCGCUAGCAAGGGUGGUCGCCAUGGACUGUAGAGUGCAAUUUUCUCCAAAACAUUAUAUCGUUUGUUGAAAUAGUGCAACUUUCAUUUAAAGAGUAUAAUUUUUAUCUCAAAGAGUGUAACGUUCAUCUCAAACUGUGCAAUUUUCUUAUGAAACAAUAUAAUUUUAUUUUAACAGUGCAAUAUUCAUAUUCUUCUUUCUUCUCUGAUUCUUAGUCUUUUCUAUAACAACGGCGAUAUAUAAUGGUCUUUUAAGGAAAUUUUUUUUUAUUUUUUAUUCUUUUUUCUAUCCUUUAUAUCUUUUUUCUCUUCUUGAAUAUCGGCACGUCUUCAUCCUCACCCUUAUAGGCGUCAAACACCUCCCCGGCCAUGAUCUCAUCGCUUCCGUCCCCGCUGUCCUAUUCACGCGCACUCCGAGUUCGCUUCCUCCAACACCGGUGUCGAUACCGGCACCGGCGGAGGGGGAGGAAAAGAAGGCAGCACCGCCCUCAUUACCAUCGCCGAGGGCCGCGGAGGUGGUGGAGGAGGGUUUAAAAAAAAAAAAGAACGAAAGAAACAAAAAUAAGAGAGAAAAGAGAAUCAUGGUAUUUUAGUCAGUAUUUUAAAGAUUCGAUCCGAAUCUGCAAAAUCUAGAAUAAUGGCCCACUUUUACAAAAUGGCAAAACUAGUGAAUUUUUUAUGCAAAUUGGCCUUUAACAUUCUAUACGAGGCGUUUUCUCUUUUAAUAGAGUAGAAAUGCAUAACAUGAGUUGAGUUGUGUAUAAACAAUCUUUUCACUAUGGAAAUUGAAAUAUGUUAUUGUGAAUUUUCCAAUGAAAGAAUUUAAUCCUCUAAUUUUAGAAGGUUAUUGAUUUUUGACUAUUUAUUUUAUGACCUUUCGAUGAACUAAAUUAAAAAUAUUUUUUGAAAAAUCAUAUAAAACAUUUAAUUAAAAAAAUCAACUACUCAAAAUUACUUAGAUGAUGCCCAUGUCAUUUCAACCACUCUAACCCUCUGACAUUGAAAAUGAGUUUAUAGCAUCAAUAAUGAUAACUUAAUUGUUAAAAAAAAAAAAAAAAAAAAAACUUCAAAAAACCCUAUGUGGUUUCAUUUUUUAUCACUUUAGUACCCUAUGGUUUAAAAUGUAUCAAGUUAGUACCAUGUGAUUUCUCACUUUAUCACUUUAGUACCUAAUGGUUUAAAUUGUAUCAAGUUAGUACUCUGUGUUUUGCACUUUAUCACUUUAGUACCCUAUGGGUUUAAUUUUCUAUCAAGUUAGUACCCUGCGGUUUUUAAACCACAGGGUACUAAAGUGAAAAAGUGCGAAACCACAAUGUACUAAACUGAUAAAGUGCAAAACCACAGGGUACUAACUUGAUACACUUUAAACCACAGGGUACUAAAGUGAUAAAGUGAUAAAUCAUAGGUCCUAACUUGAUACAUUUUAAACCACAUGAUACUAAAGUGAAAAAAAGUAUAACCACAAGUAGGGUUUUUGAAAUUUUCCCUAAAAAAAAAAAAGACAUAUGCAUUAAUACCAUUUUUUUUCAGGAAUUAAUACGCCUUUACAUUGUUAAAAUAUUAUCUUGAAACUUAAAUCACAAGUAUUAGGAUUGUUUCCAAUCUAUAUUGCUUAAAAGAUCGAUAUCAUAGAAAAUAACUUAAAAAUAUAUUUAACGAAAAAAAGCCUCAGAACCCAAUUUAAUUAUGUCAUUAUAAACACUACCUAUUUUUGUUUGCUCCUUGCGUAAAAGUCCAAAAAAAAUAAAUAAAAAUUGUGAAAUAACAAGUUCAUGAUUCAAACAAGCCCACAAAUAUAGCUCAAGAGGUCACCUUCACUUAUCUAUUAAACUCUACUUUGGUGCUAUUUCAGUUGCCAUAUUAUAGUGUUUGUUCUUUUCCAAACAUGCAUCAUUAAUCAUCAUUUUCUCAUCAAUCUAUAGGGAUAUCUGUAAUAUCUCUGGAGUUCAGCAUUUGGGACUUGACGACAGCUAUGGAGAGUGUCGGGACAAAUUCGAGUCAUAUUGGCGCGAAAUAGAUGUCAACUGGACUUAGUGGGAUGCGAGGGCAGGAAAUUAGCACUGAAAUAUGCAAAAUAGCAGAUUUUCUGCAUUGAGAACCGGUGACAACCAGGGGUGUACCGGUACCCUGUGUAAUAUGCACGCAGACCUGCUCUCGGAUUGCAUUUUCUGUUGCGGGGUAUUGGUACAACAUCGACUUGGUACCGGUACUCCAGGGUAGGUGAGGGGCUGUUUGGUCUUUUGGCUAUCUCGUUGUUUUCACCCUCUCUCCCACUCCUUCAUAUACGUGUAGAGAGGCCAGGAAGGGGUUUUGCUGAUAUUCUCUCCCUCUCUCUCUAAGAUUGAGCCGUACGUGGAGGAGGCUUCGGGUGGAGUUCGGGUCUACAUCGACAUUGCGCCGCGGUGCCGUUCGAGCGUGCGUUCGUCGUGGUAACGUCGUUGGGAAGCCGGGCGAGCGUGUGGUUCUGCUUCUAGCGACUUCUCGCCGGUUUUGGAGUAGCUUUCGAGGUGGGUCAAAGUGAUUCUUACCGGAUUUCGUGGAUUUCCUCCUAAUUCUAUAUGUUGACAGCAUGUGCUUUUUAGCUUCGUUUAGCAUAUUGUUUAGCUCGAUUUUUGGAUUUGUAUAUUUUUUAUCUUGAAUUGGAGCUUAGAAUACUAGCUAAAUAAUACAUGUUAGACUUGGAUUUGACUUAGAAGAAAACUGGCUUUCUACACUGUCAUAUGUUCAAACUACUAGAUUUAGUUUUAGGAACCGUAGUUUGUUUGUAUCGCCGCAGUUUGUGGGCGAUAGAUAUCCGGAAUAGUGUAGAAUAUAUUUACGCUCGUGCUGAGGUGCCAAGUGUAUUUUACGGCAGUGUUUAGACUGUUCCGGAUUGUCGGUUGCCGUUGAGGUUGACGGUGAACCCAGAUUGCGGUUUUUGCAUCAGAUUGUGCCGAGGGCACAUAAGUACAGUUGUUAGACCCUGUUUACUUGACUAUAGCCUGUGAGAGCCUGGUUGAGCUUGACAGAGACACGCUUGCAUACUCGGUUGGGUAGCGCCUACUAGUGCCACUCCGGAGUCGGGCUUUGUGCUCUUGCGUUGGUGUCGUUUUGUCCUGAUUGGACUUGCUCUCCACUGACGAUCUGGUUUGGUGUUAGUUAGUGUAGCUUCGACAGGCAGGACAAGUGAGUUCACAGUCCCUAGUGAGAUUGGGUCAGGUUGUACUUUUCUACAGAUAGUUGGUGUUAGACCGAGAUAGUAUAGAUGCAUAUAGCUGUAGAUUUAUUCCAGCUUUCUUACUAUACUUGUUUACAUCUGUAGACUUAGUGGGUGAGCCGUUGAGGUCGGUAGCGGUACCCACUGAGGACUACUUUUUUUUGCAGUAGUUCUCACGCCCAGUUGUUGGAAUCUUUUGCAGAGCCUUCUUCUUCAGCUGCUGCUGCUGCUGAUUCGGACCGUGGAAAGGGAGUCGCGUGUUAGAUCCCUUCUCAGUUGCUGUUGAGCUAGAGUAUACUAGCUACAGGUAGUGAUAGUUUUUGAGUUCAUAUACAUACUUAUGUUGUAUCUUGCUGGAGCGAGCUUUUUGUAUACAUGGAUGUGAUGUAUAUAUGUAUAGUGAACUUUUAUUUUUCUUAUGUAUGCUUUCUCUUUUAGCAGUUCUACACUACUGGUUGUAAUGUUGUAUGAUUACAGGUACAGCUUUCGCUUUGUAUACAGAAAAAAUUUCUAUACAUACGACGGGUCUGUUAGCGUGUCCGGGAAAACUAAUAAUCCGGGGCGUGACAAUAUCAACGGAUAGGAUUUGGGGUGGGUUUUCAAAAACCUGAACCCUAACCCAACUACCCACCGGAACUCCAAUCUAACAGAUUUUAAAAAUUAAUAUCCAAAUUGAAACCCAAUUGAAAAUCCGAAAUCUGAACCGAACCCGAAAACCCAAAUCCGAAAAAAUUGCUUUUCUGGUUUGGAUAGAAUUUUGAAUAAUCUAUACCCAUUGAUAUUAUCUACAUUGUACCUUAAGUAUAUUUUUUUAUUUGCUACCCUAGAAUUUUUACUUUUUUCAAAGUCACCACUAAAUUACCAUAUUUUGGCUAAUCUCUAUAUUAUUAUCAACAAAUAUAUUGUUUUACACGGAAGCUAACAAAUCCAUUAAAAAACACUAAUUAGAUAAUGAGAGAAGGACAAAAGCCUCAAAAAUAGAUUCAUUUAUAAAUUAGUUCUCACCUAUUUUUUUUGCUAAUUUCUAAAUUUUUUUCAAAUUAAUUAUAUACAGAGCCCUGCAAAUUAAUAUAGUGAAUUAUAACUAUAUCACUACAAUGUUCAACUUUUAUAUAUUGUCUCUAUAAAAGUCCUAAUAUUUUCAAAUAUGUUCAUGUCAUUAGAAAAUGUUAGAAAAAUUUAGUCGACCAUAGGUUAAAUAUACUUUGUGAGAUAACUUGAUAUUUUUACCCUUUUAUAUUAUACUGUUGUGACUUUUGGAGGAACAUAUUUGUGAUGGCAAAAUUGAUAUUUCACUUAUUUGCUGUUAAAAUAUAAAUAAUUUUUAAUAGUAAUAAACCAGAGUGAUAUAUUUGAAAAUAUUAUAAUUUUUAUAAAAACAACAUAUGAAAGUUGAACUUUGUACUGAUAUAUUUGCAAUUCACUAUAUUUGCAGGUACCUGUAUGCAUUUAACCUUUUUUACUUAAUUAAAAUAGGGUGAAUGUACAGAUAAACAACAUAUGAAAGUUGAACUUUGUACUGAUAUAUUUGCAAUUCGAUCACUAUGUUUGCACGUACAUAUAUGUAUUUAACCAUUUUUACUUAAUUAAAAUAGGGUGAAUGANCCUUCCAAAAAAAACAAAAAAACCUCCCAAAAACAAAAAAAAGUGGUGUUUCUUGGAGAAAAAAAAAAAGUAUUCAUAGGAAAUGGAAAAAAAAAAAGAAGAAAGCCCUAAACUGCUAUGUAGUAUAGAAUAGUCUCUUUUUUCGCAGUUAAAUAAAAACUAAGCAGCUUUUGUAACACCAAAACCACUAAACCUACCUAAUUAGUUUACAAUUUAAGGUAGGGAAUGGAACCUACCCUAAUUUAUUAGGAUCUGAUGCGGCUAAUUUGGCAAUUAGAUUUUAUAGAGAAACUUGAUAUAACUAAGUGGGCGAAAAUCACAUUGAGUUAAAAGCAAUUCUUACAAACAGACUCAAAAGUUUUUUAAACAGUUAUAACUUUUCACACGUGUCCAUUCUUAAUGUGCAGUCCCAAUUCGUGAACAAUUUUUUAAGAUCUACAUGUUGAACUGCUUCACUGUUCAGGCAAGUUUGAAAUCCAAAUUCAUGCAGGAUAUUUUGAGUCAGAUUGAAGAGUCAGUUGUGAUCAAAUUAGAUUUAGAGAUAUUUUAGAUUCUGUUAUUUUCUUUCAUUGUAGGAUUCUAAUAUUGCCUACAUAAAUAUAUGUUGUUCGAUUAUUGUAAGCGGUUUUAGAAUUUUGAUCAGUAAUAUAUUUGUUUUCGUUUUUGAAAUAUUAUCUUCUUCAUGUCUUUUUUCUUGCUUGCUAUGCUUCUUCUUUCUCAACACGGUUUAGACCUGCACUAGAAUUUAAGAAAAACACCGACCGUCCCUAGAGCAAGUGGCAAAGGGCUUGGUGGUUGGUACCUGAGGUCCCAAGUUCGAAUCCUAGUUGAUUCACAUUGCUAACAAGUUUAUUUCUAAAUGAAAUAAACAAAAGCGGGUAGCGUGCUAACUAUCUCUCAAAAAAAAAAAAAAAAUCUAAGAGAAAUUUUUGUUCUCUUAAAGGAGCUAGCAUUCUGUUUUGUGGCGAAAUGUCAAGUUGAAUCGAAUCACGUUCGAAAUGGCAGAAGGUCAUGUAGGACAAAAUCAUGUUCGAAGCAGUAGAAAAUUAACUGAGUCGAAUUACAAUCAAGAAUGUUGUGUUUGCAUACUUUGAGAAAAUUAAUUGUAAUUUUUUAAAAGCAAUAAUUUUUUAAAUUAUUAAUUUGCGCCACCCUAAUAUAUAUAUAUAACUGUCAUACCACAAUGCAUUUAUAUAGUCUAAGCUCUACACAAAGGAUGUAAAGUCCCACUUAGCUGCUGGCAUUGCAUGCCACAAAUGAAAAGCUCUAGAAGGUCAAAAAGAUUAGACAUAUUGUGGGAUAGAAAAAAAAAUAAAAAAUUACACUAUCAAUGCCUGUUUUUUCCAAACUUAGUUGACCAAGUCACAUCAUCAAGAGAGGUUGUUCUCAAGGAAUAAUAAUAAUAAUAAUAAUAAUAAUAAUAACAAGGGCAAUGCUCCUAUAUACCAAAUAAACCUUAGUCCUUAAAUUUUUUAAAAUAGAUGGUAGUGAUGCAUCUUUUAUAAAGGGAUGACCGGCUCUUGUUAUAAUCGGUACCAGUCACCCUCCCUACCGAAGGCAAAAACUUCCUCAUUAUAUGGAGUUGCACUGAGGGUAUUUUCGUAAAUUCUCAUCCUCAUAACAUACCAUUCUUGUAAAUGUAGAAUAUUUCAUCUUUUUCGAUUCUUAUCCUUCAAUAUUUCAUAUAUAAUUACUUUUCUUAAAUUAAAUUUUCUUUACUAAUGAAUCAUAUUCAAAUUCAAAAUAUAAAAUGAUGCAUUAUUGAAAGAAUUUAGCCUAUCCGUUAUUCUUGAGUCUAACUUGAACAAGAGCUUGAAAGGUUAGCCAGUUUUAAAUUUAUUUGUACAAUUUGAGUAUUAAAUAAAAAAUUAAAUUUGUCGCAAAUUUAAAUUUUUGUUGCAUCCAAAAUUAUAUUCAAAUAUAAAAUAUUGCAAAUAACAAGUUAUAUUAUGUAAUCUCUUAGUAAUAGAAUAUGAAAUAUUGUCCCUACGUCAAUGUUUAAAAAAUUUUGAAUUUGACCUUGUGAUCAAUAGUUUUAACUAAUUAAGUUCAUUACCUUAAUUAAAAUAAUUAAAACUUUUAUGAUCUUCAUAAGUUCCGGUAUAAAUUAUAUAUUUUCUUCUCAAAUCAUGAGAAACGUAACACUUUGGUAGACUAACUUUAGUAAAUUGUAAUUUCAAAUUAAAUCUUUUUGAUUAUUACAUCAAUUCUAAUGGUCCAAUUUAGAUAGCCGAAUUAUGAUUUGACGUUGAUGUGGUAGUGAUGUAGCAUUUUAGCCAUUCUCAUACCAUCAAUUAUAAGUUCAAUUUAGAUUCAAAUUUAAAAGUUUAAUAUAAAUUUCAAAAUUAAAAUUUUACAUUACAAUACCAAUUUCAAAAAUUAAAUUUAAAUUCAAUAUUUUUUUGAGCUGGAUACUUAACAAAUUGGGUAUCAUCUAAUUUGGUAAGUUAUUAAAGUAAUAAGAUAUUUAAUACUUAAAGGAUGCUGAUAAAUUUGGUAUAUGCUAAUUUUUUUUCCAAUAUUGUCAUGUUAACUUAUUCAAAUCGGUAACCUGUUCAACAGGUUACUUCAUGUAAAUCCCAAUUAUACCUUUUAAUAUUUAUGGUGUAUUGAAGCAUUCCUCUAAUAAUAAUAAUCUAUAAUCUAUAAUUUAUAAUCUUCUAUAACACUAAUGAAAGGAGAGCCUAAAGCGGCUCUCCCCGCGUUUUGUGGGGGCCGGUGGCCCCCACUUUUUUUUUUUUUUCCCUCUCUCUCACUCUCUUACUUUCUUUUUUUUCUUUUUUUUUUCUCUCAACACUCUCACUCUUCUCCCUCUCUCUCUUACUUUCUUUUUUUUAAAUUUUUUUUUCUUAACAUUUUUUUUAAAUUUUUGCCUACAUUAAGUAUAAAAUUUUAUCGUAUGUAUCAAUUCUAUUUUUUAAUAGUCAAUAUAACAAAUAAAUAUAAAAUUUUAUUGCAUAGAUCAAUACUAUUUUUUAAUAGUCAAGAUAACAAAUUCAUAUGGUUUUUGUCCUUAUUUUUUUUUAGUCCUUUCUAUAAUUUAUUCUUAUAUUUUUAUUGCAGCAGUAGUUACUUAUUCUUUAGUUGCUUCCUUUUUUAUAUAAUUUUUUGACUUUUUCUACUUUCUUUACUUUAUUUAUUUAUUUAUUUAUUUAUUUGAAAUCAUUCCGCCGCAACGUGCCGUCCUUCACUAGUAAUAUAUAANUUUUUUUUAGUCCUUCUUAUAAUUUAUUCUUAUAUUUUUAUUGCAACAAUAGUUACUUAUUCUUCAGUUGAUAUUUAUUUAUUUGAAAUCAUCCCGCCGCAACGUGCGGUCCUUCACUAGUAAUAUAUAAUGAUAAAGCAAGUUAUCUAUGAGAUUUUGUUGGUGAGUUUAGUAUCUUUGUGCAUUAGACCAAUGGAAGUAGGGGGGAGCACUAUUCAAAUCGAAUUUUCGAACCGAAUUAAUUUAGUUUGAUCAGAAAAUUCAACUGGACCAGUUUUUUGUUUUAAGCACUUCGAUUUGAUCUAAAAUUUUAAUUUUUAAUGUUCGAUCUGGAUAUCUAACUCGAAAUCCAAACCAGCUGAAUUAAAUUAUGUGCUAUAUUUUAAAAUAUUUUAAAAAGUAAAAUAAAAUUUGAAAAUUUUGGUUCGGUCCACUGCUCUACUAAAACCGAUCGAACCAACCAAAUGCUCUCAGCCUCGAUGGAAAUAGAAAGGCUGUUUUAGAAGAGCUUUGUCACGCCCCGGGGUCCCUUUUCGGUCUGGAAAGACAGCGGAAACGACUAAAAUUUUUUUUUUUUUUGAAACACCUGACCCCAGAGUAUGUCAGAUCCACCACAAUUACAGGGAAUCCACUGUUCACACGGACAGAGUUUCCCCUGUAUUUGCACGGCGUCGCACAAGUACAGAUACACAAUCAGAGUACAACCAGAAUACAACCACAACCAUAUGAACACACAAUCACAACUGCACAUGCAGACGUUCAUACAUUCACCAUUCACAACGCGACAGUAUUCCAAGUUUUAAACAUAAAUCCAGAACUAUCAUUUAAAAUGUUUCCCACACAAAAACUUUUAUCUUUUAAAACGCUACCACGAGGGGUAGAAAACCAUCGAAAACUGUAUUGAAUAUGAAAAUCCUUUUUCUUUUUAAAACAAGCGCUACCACGAGGGGUAGAAAACCAUUUUACUUGAAAAGCUCAUAAAUCUCUUUUUAUUACGAAAACCCAGCAGAAAACUGAAUAUUCAAGUACCGAAUGAAACUGAACCAAAAUGAAAGUUUACUAUUUAUUCAAGCAAGGAAAAAUAGAUAACCAAACGGGACGGAGCUCUAUCGCGCGCUAGACUCGCUCCUCACCUGCCGUCCCACUCGGACCUGCGACGUUACCUGUAAUGGGGGCGGGGGCUGAGAACAUGUAAACAUGUCUCCCCUCCCAGUGGGUACCGCAAGCCGACGAGGGCGAGGGUACGCACCAGCAAAGGAGGCUAAGCAACAGUAAAGGUAAACAACUACAGUAGCUACUAUGAUAUAAGAACAGAAAGUACAAGUAAGGAACUGAUGUACAAGUAAUGAACUACUGCUACUGUAUGUAUGCAUCAACUGGUAGAUAGUCCAAGGAUACCCAAUCUAAACCUGCCUUGUUGGUCCNGAGCGGUUGAAAACGAGCUAUUGGAAGGCUAUAUUCGGAGUCCGAUACGCGUCGAAAGUCCACUUUACUUGGCGGCCUCUCCGGAAAACCGGAGUUACUAUUCACUUAAGUCAGACUUCCGGGUCGCGUAACUUCUCCGUUUUAACUCGUUUUCUCCUGAAAUUUGACGGGUACACUUAUAAUUAUAUUACACACAAGAACAUCAUCAAACAAAAGGGUUUAAUCAAUAAAUCAAAAAUCUCAGUUAUUACAAGCUUUUUAAGAGAUUUUAGAGUUUUAGGUAUUAAGAACUAUCAAAUAUUAUUAAUUAGGUUAAAAGGAGUAGGGAAAAAAAUAUUUAGUAAUAUGCUUCUACGUACAUUUCUGGUGAGAUCGCAAAAAUCAUAUCGUAACUGGAUUAUUGCAAUUACGCAAUACAACAUUUUUUAUAAAUUUUUCAUCGCACUUUCUCAACUUAUGUCACGUAUUCUCUUCACGAAUCCAAAUGGAUCGUAAGGGUUCGUUUAGAAUUACGGUGCGGUAUAUCUACGGCUCUACAAUAUCUAUAUCCCACUUGGGAAUAAGCAUGGAAUCUAUACCUACAUAUGAAUUUUCAUUGCUAAAUCCAUAUGGAAGUGCCACCUUCAUUUGAGGGUGGUGGGACCUACUAUUAUUUUUAAUCUUUUUUAUUCUCUUUUAUUUUAGUAAAACUAUUUUCUCUCUCGCAACCCUUUUUCUCUCUCUCUCUCUCUUUUUUUUUUUUUACUUCCAUCUCUUUUUUUUUUAAUCUCUCGAACCAAUAAAGGUGUCUCUCCCUCUCAAUGUAUGAUUUUAGGUUUUUCUUUUUCUCUCCCCUUUUUUGUCGCUCGCCGCUCGGAGCCCUUUGGCCCUCACUCGCUGCUCCUCAUGUGUCCUUGACAAGAACGACUUGCGGUGCCGUCACCAGCUGUCCUAUUCUCAACAAUUAUGGAAUAUCUAUAUUCUUAUGUUUUUAUUUUUUUUUAUCAAUUAUCUACCUGUCGCAUCACGCAGGUUAUUUCAGUAGUAUAUCAAUAUAUUCUCUAUAAAUCUAAUCCCCUACUCUCUACGCAUUUAAUGCAAUCACUCUUAGAAAUAUUCUUAUUCCUUUUUUUUUUGUCUUUUGGAGGAAACAUCAGUAUGCUGCCGGCUUCGUUCCUCAGAAAAGAUGAAUUAGACUAAAAAAUUAAUAAUAAUAGGAUAAAAAACUAUCUCUCAAUUUAUUUUUUCUUAAUCCUUAGUCUAUGAUGCAUUCAGUGCACCUGAUUAUCAUGUUAAUUUAGUUAUUAGCUCUAAUUAAUCCCAAUUGUUCCAGAGAUUAAGCAUACCCUAAAAUGUGUAUUAGAAACCAUAUGGAUCCAAAUCAAUAACUAAAAUACAUAUCCUUAACUAUGUUACGCAAAAUAUCUAUCUCAUAGGAAACGUACUAGAAUUAGCUUUAAUACCUCUUUUAUUCUCAUUUCAGGCUCACGUGCAUGGUAGAUAUCAGGCAAAUGUCAUAUUAGGUUCACAUGCGUAUGGAUAUCACGUAAACUUUAACGGGAACCUCGUAUCACAUGCACUGAUACUAAAGGUGGUAGAUUAAUAUCAGAUCAACCUCAUAUCAAGUUCACAUGCAUGAUAAGUAUCAGAUGAACGACACCACAUGCACCAGCCAAAGAGGUAAUUAAUAGAAGAAACAAUGAAAUGCUAAUAAAUAAGAAUACGAAAAUCGAACUCACAAUCUCUUGGAACAUACAGAGCUUCAGAUUAUCUUAAAAAAUCAAUCUCAUACGAAACGUUUGAGAAUUAGUCAUAGUAAAUUAAUUAGGAGCAUAUCAUGCGCUUUGUGAUUCGAUCAGCCUAGUCUACUUGAAUAUAUAGGACUUUGCAACUUCCCGAUUCCCAAGUACUGCUACUGUAUAUAAGUUGAAAUUAUGAACAGACAUUAAGAAUAAAAUACCACAUAAAUGUAUCAACAUAUUAAUAAUUUGUGGAGAUAUUAUUUUGUGGGACACCAAAAGCAGUUCCCCAUGCAUGUUAAUUUUCAUUAUAUUUUUAUUACGAAGGAAAGCGAUAAAAUUGUAAAUCCCAAAUUGGAUGCAAAUCAAAAUAUUCUCGUCUGUAUAUAUUGUGAGGAAUUUUUUUAUUAAUCAGCUUAAACUUUUAGAUUGGCUCGACCCAUUUAACGUGGUAUCAAAAUUUUUAGAAUUUAUCAUAUUGCCGUAUCCAUACUUUGUAUCUGUAUCUGUAUAACAUAGCUAUCAAGUUAAGCGCAUCUGGAAUGGAUGUAAGCUUUUGGAGUAAACACUUAAUUGUCAAGGAUGGAAGGUUCGCUGGCUAAGCAGAUCGAUCCCAUGCAACAUGUUCCAUUAAUGGGAAAAAUAAAGAUUCUUCUAUUUUUCUCAUGAUCUCGUGUACUUACAUUAAGGAAAAGCCCUCUUUAUUGACUUUACACAUGAGAAGCCUACAAAAUUAGGAGGUGGAGGCAUGCAUGUGUAGGGUAUAAGAUGAAAGGAAUGCUAAGCUAGUUGGCUUCCUCUCUUCCACGCCUUUGAAUUUGGAGACAAAGCGUAGCUUCAUUUAGACUUUUUCAAGAGAAGAAUCAGUUAUUAUUUUUAUAUUGAAGUACGUUUACCCUCACUUUCAUGCAUAAGCUCACAACUUUGACUCUUCUUUUACCCUCUAUUUUCAACAAAGAACCUCUUGAUUUGGAUAGGAAUUAGAGCAUGGGGGAAGCUUCCAAUUUGAGGGCAAAAAGGUUUACUUUAGAGAAUAUUUGGUUGCAUUUUAUUGCUAUUCGAUCUAUCGUUUGGAUUGUUGCAUGAGCAUUAAUUAGAUUGCUUCAGUAGAUGGAAUUAUGUACAAAUUAACUCUAGUUCCAACUGCAUUAGCUGAAGAGAGUAAUUUUCAAUAAAAAGUAACUAAAAUUAUCUAUCUAAUAAACUUUAAAUGGAAAAUUUUUAGUUUUUCUUCUUCGUUGGAGAUAACUUCAAUCCUUAACUAUAUGCAUCUUUCAAUGUACUGCAUUUACAGUUACAUCUAACUAAAUAGGACCCCAGAUUACUUUGUUCAUUUUCAAGAUGAGCCUGAUCACAAAUAGAAUUCACGCAAGUGAUUCGAAACUCAAAAUCUUCUGUUCACAUACCAUGCCUCUAAAUUGCCAUAUACCUGUUCAGUUCUGUUUUUAUUUUUGUACUAAACAAUAGCGGAUUAUAUACUAGAUCUCAUGGAGCAUAUAGAGCGUUUGAGAAAUAACAUUCUAAGCUCGAAUAGCAAAAGAUUCAAAUUGGUGCUUCUGAUUCUACCGCAUAAAGGAUGUAUAAUUAUUAUUUCGAAAUUUUGAAUUGCGAAUUAAAGGUAGUGCAUGUUGUAGUCUCCUCAAUUUGCUCCUCUAAUGAGGGGGAAUCUUUGAAACUUUGUAACACUUUUGUCUUUCUAAAAAGAGACAUAACCAAGAUCUCCACUUUGCAAUUAAGGACUUGUUUGAAUGUGCGUAACUUGUGCAUGAACUCGUGCUGUUGACAAAAGUCUAAUCGAAAUGCGUGUUUUUAAUCCACAAAGAUGAAAGGUGGAAACUGCCCGGCAUGUCCUUUGUUAUAUAUGGAAUGUAAGAGAAGGCAUGGAAUUUUAGUGACGAUCUCGAUCGACUUUGUGCCAGAAGUUAUCUAUCAAAUAUAUAUAUAUAUAUAUAUAUAUAUACACUCAUGGAAAACUUCUUAUAUAUUGGAAUAUGCUAAACUCCAAGAUGGUAAAGAAGAAUUAAUUAAAUGCUGUAGUUGGAUUUUAUAUAUAUGCCAUCCUCUUUAUUCUUUAGUUCCUUUUUAAAUGAAAGGGGCAUUGAAGCUAACUGAUUAAUUAUCAUAUAUAAUUGAUCAAAAUGAUUUGUUCAAAGGCAACUGGGAAUAUCUUUCACAAGCUUUAUUUAUUUUUAGUUCUUUAUUUUGAGAAAUUUCAAGUACUAUAUAAAUAAUAUCAAAAUUUUAAAAAAAUUAAUUUUUAGGUGAUUAAUUAAAAUACUCUAUAUUAAGUACUGUAAUAUAUACGAUCGUGGAUCUAAAAGGUGCAUUAUCCAAAAAAAAAAAAAAAAUUAAAAGUACAAAAACUUUUAUACUUUAAAAGCACCAAAGUUGGACUUUAGAACUUGGAUUGAAUUGAACACCCUCUAAUACCAAUAUAAAUGAGAAACAUACAUAAAAACAAGAAUAUGCUAUACAACCACUACAACAGAAUUAGGUUAUAGGGACACAUGUUUGGAACAAUUUUGAGUAAGUGUCCAAUUUAUACUAAAACUUAAAAAAACAUCUACCAAUGCCUAAAUAUAAAGCUCAAUCCAACCAAAAAUAAAAGAUUACUCUACUCAACCCACCACACCCAGUCCAUUUGGCCCGAUUACAAACAGAAAAGAAAAAAAAAAUGAAAAAUCAAUUACCAUCUUUUCUUCUCUCUUCACUCAAUCCACUGAAAUUCUAGACGAAGAGUCUUUCCUGUCGUCCUCCUCCGCUACCGCAGCCAACGAGAUAGAGUUUCGGCGGUUGCUAAAUGCUUAAAUAAGUGUUGGUAAAUUAGCAGCACUCUUUUAGAUUAUAACGACACUCUUUAACUAUCACUAUAUACCUAGCGACCCCACAUAUAGCAACACUUUUUAAAAAUGUCGGUAAUUUUAGCUAGCAGCACUUUUUUAACAUGUACCUAUAUUUAAAAGUGUCGCUAUAGACCGUUUUUGUUGUAGUGAACGAUGUGAUAAAUAGAGAUUUAAUACAUUAACCAUAUCGUGACAAAUUGUUUUUGAUUUGCUAGUACAGAAAAUAAUACGUUUUAUAGGUUAUACACUACGCACGUCGUUACCUAUAUUAAUUUAGUAGAAAAUUACUUAAUAGAUGGUCUUGAUCAUAUUAUCUGCAAUUAGCAUGCUAUAGAGAGACCACUUAACUAUGAGAUAUUCUGAGUUAAAUUGAUCACCCGGCCCCUCAAAUUUUUUUCCUUUUUUAAUCUAGCUAAGUUAUAUAUGUUACUACUUGAAUUAUAAUUUUGUUAAAUACAAUAUAACUCUGUUUUAUUUUGCUCUCCUGAUCACUUUUCAGAGAAUGGAAUUACAGAUUCUGUUAAACUGUUAGUAGCUGAUAAGUUAACUAAGCCACUAAUAAUUUAGUGAAUCCCCAAACUAGUUAAUUGUGUAAUUUAGUGAAUCCCCAAACUAAUGUACCGACCGUCCCUAGAGCAAGUGCUAAAGAGCUUGGUGGUUGGUAUCUGAGACCCAAGUUCGAAUCCUAGUUGAUUCACAUUUCUAGCUAAGUUUAUUUUUAAAUGAAAUAAACGAAGCGGAUAGCGUGCUACCUAUCUCUCAAAAAAAAAAAAAAAGUAAAAAAAAAAUGUGGGGAAUCUAGUUUAAAAUGGCAAAUAGUGAGGGGGUCUUCAUAUAAUUUUUACUAAGUAUUUAUGUGGGCUAAAUUGCACCUUUUGGUUCUCAAACCACUGCAACAGAAUUAGGUUAUAGGGACACAUAUUUGGGACACUUUUGAGUAAGUGUCCCAUUUAUGCUAAAACUUCAAAACACAUCUACUAAUGCCUAAAUAUAAAGCUCAAUCCAAUCAAAAAUAAAAGAUUACUCUACUCAACCCACCACAUCCAGUCCAUUUGGCUCGAUUACAAACAGAAAAGAAAAAAAAAAAAAUCAAUUACCAUCUUUUUUUCUCUCUUCACUCAAUCCAUUGAAAUUCUAGACGAAGAGCCUUUACUGUCGUCCUCCUCCGCCACCGCAACCAACGAGAUAGAGUUUCGACGAUUGCUAAAUGCUUAAAUAAGUGUUGGUAAAUUAGCAGCACUCUUUUAGGUUAUAGCGACACUCUUUAACUGUCACUAUAUACCUAGCGACCCCAUAUAUAGCAACACUUUUUAAAAGUGUCGGUAAUUUUAGCUAGCAACACUUUUUUGACAUGUACCUAUAUUUAAAAGUGUCGCUAUAUACUGUUUUUGUUGUAGUGAACUAUGAGACACACCACACAUGGCAUUGGUUUUCAACUUUAAUUUAUUA
rnacentral:lncRNA from 1 species